rnacentral:lncRNA from 1 species
AUUUUAUAAUGUCAUUAAAAUAAUAUUAUAAUUCUAAAUUUUUCGAUUGGAAUAUUGAUCUUGGUUAUUAUCUUUCAGAUAAUAAUGACUUCCUAAUUGAAAUUUGGAGAAUAUUGAAUGUCCAAUAGAUCAUAAAUUCAAAUCUUACAUAUAGAGAAAAUUAUUUGAAUAUAAAUUGAGAAAACUGGAAACAAAUGGGGAUUUUACUACUCAAAUAUUGAAUUGAAAGUUUUUUUCGUUAGGAUCUGAAUUUGAAUUGGAAGCCUAAUAUUUUAAUUGUUUUGUAUAUUUUCUUAAUUUGUACAAAUUUUGUAAUGUCAUUAAAAUAAUGUUAUAAUUCUAAAUUUUUCGAUUGGAAUAUUGAUCUUGGUUAUUAUCUUUCACAUAAUAAUGACUUCUUAAUUGGAAUUUGGAGAAUAUUGAAUGUGCAAUAUAUCAUAAAUUCAAAUUGCACAUAUGGAUAAAAUUUUAUUUUGAGUGGUUUAUAAUUGUGACUUAUAUAUUGGAGCCUGUCCAACUCAAAAACUAAAGCUGAUAGGUUUGCCCAAAAAUAUUUUAUUAAAAAAUAAUUGCUCCUUCAAUUAUUAUUUGAUGCGGACUAUUUUCUAAAUUGAGACUAUUUUUACAGAAUUCAUUUGCUUUGUUUUUUUUUAUUUUUCUUAUCUCCUAAGUCAUAAGAUCAUAAAUAGUGGUGAAAAUAGAUCGUAUAAUACUAGAUCGGAUUUGAAUAUAAAUUGAGAAAACUGAAAACAAAUAGGGAUUUAACAAAUUGGGGUUUUCGAAUCGACGAUCCAUACCGUUAAACAUGAUUUAGAGUAUUUGAAAUUUCUAGAAAAUAAAUUUCAUAAUUUUUCGAAAUCAUUAUAAAAUCCAUCAAACGGGUAUAAAAUGAACGGUCAAAAUCGAACGAUAUCCUAAAAAUAGAUGAUUGGAUCCUUCAAUUUAAGAUCGGAGUUAUUGAUCUUUAUUUAAUGAGUAUAGUGAAUAGAAUUUUUAUCAAAAAUUUAAUCCUCAUUCCUGAUUCUUUUUACAACACGAUUAAACUAAGACAAAUUUCAUAUAUCGCCCGGUUAGAAAUUGUCAAUUUUUGUGAUCUUGUGAUCGUAUAGUAAAAAUGAUAGCGAAAAUUAUUAAAAAUUUGCAUUUCUAGAAUAUUUUAAAAUGCUCUAAAAUGUCUUUAACGGUAUGUGAAUCGUUUGAAUUUGAAAGCUCUAUAUAUUGAAAACAAUUUAUGAGUACGAAGGUGAUCGUACUCAUAAGAGUUAUAAUAACUGGACUCAUUUUUACUAUUCAAAAUUUGAGUUGAAAGUUUUUUUUAUUAGGGAUUAUGAAAUUGACAUUUGAAGAGCCUAUAAAUUUUUAAUUUGUUUCUAUGUAUAUUUGUUAAUUUGGAGUAAUUUUUCUAAUUCAUUAAAAUAAUGUAUAUUAAUUCUAAAUUCUUUUCUAUUGGAAUAUUGAAUACUUGGUUAUUAUCUUUCACAAUAAUGCACUUUUAAUAAGAAUAUUGGACAAUAUUGAAUGUGCAAUAGAUCAUAAAUUCAAAUUCAUCACAUAUGGCAUUCAAAUUUAUUUUGGAGGGUUAUAAUUGCGACGUUUAUAUCUGGGAGCCUGUCAACUCAAAAACUUAAAGCCAACUAGGUUUACGCCAAAAAGUAUUUUUAAAAAAUAAUUGCUCUUGUUAAUUAUUACUUUGAUGUGGACGGGUAUAGAUAUAGAUUUUUGAAUCAAGUAAGUAAGAAAAAGUAAAAAAAAAAAAAAAAAAAAAAAAAAUAGAUAUUGACAAAAAAAAAAUUUUAUAGUUUAGCAAAUUUAAAAAAAUAUAAUUUUAUCAAAAUGAAAAAUUAAGAUGCUUACGUGAAAACAAGCUAAAAUUAGGAAAUCUCCACCAAUCCACUGUCACUUAUUAGUUUUGACUUCAUUCAAUAAUUUGUUUAAUAAUUUUUAAUACUAAAAUUUCUUUAAAAAGAGGCUAAACUCUAGAAAAAAAUUAUUAUAAUUCUAUGUAUAAAAAUAGAAGUGACACAUAGCCAUAGUUAGUUAAUUCGGAUUCGGCAAAAAUUCGGUACGGAUAUAAUGCGUAUAAAAUUUGUUUUCUAAUUUUUAAAUUCGUUGAAAAAUUUGGCUUAAAAAACGGAUUUGGUAUAAAAUAUAAAAUAUAAGAUAUAAAAUAUAAAAUAAUUUAUAUUUAAAAAUAAAAUUAUAAGUUUUUUAUUUAUAUUUUCAAUAAUUCAGCACUAAUUCGCGAAUAAUUUGCGAAUAAUUCGGCUGGCCCAAAAAUUUUCGAAUAAUUUUUUUUUCUUUCAAAAAAAUUUGUAAACAGACCGCUUAAUUCGAAUUUUCAAUAAUUCGUGAAUAAUUCGUAAAUAAUUCGCGAAUUUACUAACCAGACACAUAUCCUAUACAAAUGGGUAAAUCAUACGAAAAUUCUCAAUGGAUUUAUUUUUUUUUGCUGUACACAGUGUUGGGUCCGCAGCGUGCCACGUAGCCAACUAUUUUUGUAGGGCCCACACUCCAAAACGCGGUUUUGGAGAAACAGUUUGUAACGAUUUGACUUUCUCGCCAAGCGCUUUUGUCAACGCGAAUCUCCUCGCUCCAACAGGAAAGAAAACAGCGAACCCCUCGUGCGCAUUUUAAAACCCAAUAAUAAUAAUAAUAAUAAAAUAAUAAUGACUAAACUAUACUUUUGGUCCUCGGACUAUUAGUUUCGUAAUAUUUGAUCCUUAAAUUUUAAUUUAACAUAAUUUUGGUUUAAACUUUCUGAAUUAUUACAAUUAAGUUGCACAACUCAAAUUAGAUGGUUAAAUAUUAAUGCAUCAUUAAUGUGAAAGUAAUGUAGUUGUAUUGUGAUUGAUUAUAUAAAAAUAAUAAUUAAAAUGACACAUUACUUUGACAUCAUCGAUACGUCAAAAUUUAGCCAACGAAAUUAAGUUGUGAGACUUGAUUGCAAUAAAUAAAAAAGUUUGAGUCAAAAUUAUAAAUAAGUUAAAAUUUAAGAAUCAAAGUAUCUGUAAUUUAUCUAAACGUGAAUUGCAGAAAUACGAAGUCUACAACAUUGGGGGUUCGUAAUCUUUACGAUCCCCCAAUCCAACGGACCAAAAGAGUUUAAUUACUAACCCUUUUAUUAGUGUUUAAUUAAAAAAAAAUGAUGAUACUAAUUUUUACAACUUGGCCCUUAGCCCUUGGAAAGUUAUAAGAUUACAGCGAUAAAGGGUUGUAGGGCUAGCAUUGCUCAGGUAAAUUGCAUGGAAGGGCCCUAAUUUUUAACAUAAAGUCUCUAUUGAAUUCCUCAUCUUCCAAUGUUGCAUUAAAAUUUGUAGGUGAAUGCCCCAAAAAAGGGGUGUUCACCAAAAAAGGGGUGUAUAUUUUUCUUCUGUAACCGUAUAGUUUAUAAAUCUCUAGGAGUUUUUAGUUUUUUUUUUUUUUAUAAAAGAUAAGAGAGUAUUAUAAUCUCUUAGAUAAAGCGAUGUAAGAUUUACAUUGCUUUUCGGAGUGUAGAAAUAGCAUUCGUUUGUUGCAAUUACAUUCUUAGUCUUUAACAUGCUUUUCAGUUCAACCAUUUACUUUCUAAUUAUUGUAGUUAGGUUCUUAAUCUUCCACAAAUUUCAAUCGGGUCCCCAAGGGACCUUUUAAUUGUUACAACAAAAAUUAUUUUCAUUGACCAUCCCUAGUGCAGGUGGCAAAUAAUUUGAUGGCUAGUAUUGAGGUCCCAAAUUAGAAGCCUAAUAGCUUCACAAAUGCAGCUAAGUUCAUUUCUUAAAGAGAAAAUGAACAAAAAAUGAAUGAAAUAGGUACAUUGCUUGUUGAAUCGUUGACACUAAUCAGUAACCCCAAAAGUUCGAACGGUUAGAAAUAUAAAAUUAAUUGACGUAAAACAUACAGACACAACGCCCAUGGGUCUCGAUUGUGAUUCGGUCCAACCAAUCUCACGUCAUUUCGAACAUGACUCGGCCCAACCCGACCUCUCGCUAUUCCGAAUGCGAUUCAAUCUAACCCAACUUUCUGCCACAAGGCAAGAUACUGGUUCCUUUAAGCUGACAAUAUUAUUUUGUUCUCUCUUCAAAAGAAAAAGAAAGAUACGGUCAGUGAGGAUGCUUAGGUGGGGAGUGUACUUGGAAGGAAUCUUUUCUUGUGCAAGAAAAGGGAGGAGGAAGGAGAAGGGCGAGAUACGUGAAAGCUAUUAUGUGGGUUUGGCCUAGCUUUUAAAAAUCGCUUUUGGACUGAAAAAUAAUUUUCGGCCCAAUAGAGCGUUUGGCAACUCAUUUUUAAAAUCUGAUUCGGCUUAUUAGAAUCAGAAAACUGAUUUUGAAGGCCCCAGAAUCAGAAGCAAAAAAAAAACAGCUUCUUGAAAUAUGAUUCUGAUUUUGGAUUUAAACUUCAAAUUUUUAUUUUUAUUUUAAUUUCAAUAUUUAAAUUUAAAUUUAAUUUUAAUUUCUUACUCUUUCUCAGACUUCAUCCUUCUAAAUCUUUCCAAAUUUUACCCUUAAACUUUUCGCAAUUUUGAAAAAAUAGAUCCCUUCACACCACUCCCUCUCACAUUCUCCACAAUCCUUCUAAAAAUUCAAAUUCUCAAAUCUCAACCAUUCCUUCACAAACUUUUACAAAAUUUAACAUUUUAAUUUUAAAAUCCUUUAAAAUUUCCAUCUUCCAAUUUCACAUUUCACACAUUUCUCAAAUUUUAAAUUUUCUCAAUUUAACAUUUACAACUUUUAAAAAUUCUGGUAAUUUUACCUAUCUCACCCAUUUCAAAUUAAUUAAUUUUUAAUUUUUAAUUUUUAAUUUUUAUUUCUAACUCUUUAAUUCCUUCACAAAUUAAAUUUUGAAAUUAAAAAUUUAAUAUUUUUCUCUCACCAAUAUUUACUCUCUUACUCUCCUUUACACAUUCUCAAUCAACCUUACCUCCCCCUCUAUCUCUCUCUUACCACCAUUUAAAUUUCUCACAAACCUCCUCUUCCAACCAAUUUAAUCUCUCAACCUUCUUACAAUUACUCACAUCAUUUUAAAGUCUUAAAUCUUAAACUUCUCAAAUUUAAAGUUUGAAAUUAUAAAUCUUAAAUUAUAUAUUUUUAUAUAUUCACACAUCUCUCUCACUCACUCUCUCAAAAUUCAUGAAUCUACCCCUACUCACUUUUAAAUUCUAACUAUUUCUCAUCUUUUAAUUUUAAAUUUCCUAUUACUCUCUAAUUUUAAAUUUUUAAAAUUUUAAAUUAUUUUUGAAAUUAGAAUAUCAAAUUUUAAAUUUUGUAUAAUUUUGAAAAUUAAAAAUUUUAAUUUUCAUUCAAAUUUAAAUUUAGAUUUUAAAUUAUUUUAAAAUAAAAUUUAAUAAAAAUAUUAAUUUAUACAAACAUCAAAAAAAAAUUCCCAAAUAACUUUUCAAAAUCACUUCAGAAAAAUCACUUUUAUCUAAACCAUACCAAACGCUCUACAGCUUUUAAUCAAAAUCACUUUUCCAAACCAAAAUCUCUUUUUCAUAAAUCACUUUUUUAGAAGAUAGGCCAAACAGGCCCUAUCUCAGCUGGCUCGGACAACCAAACUUCACCUGCGAUCGGUCGCGCCACUACAACAGAAUUAGAUUAUACGGAUAUAUUUUUAAGACACUUUUAUAUAAGUGUCCCAUUAUGUCAAAUAAAAAAAAAAAAAAUCUGUUAAGACUUAAAUAUAAAGUCCAAUCCAAUCAAAAAUAAAAAGUUCUUCUAUUCAACCAACCACACCCAGCCCACUCAGCCCGAUUACAAUAAAAAAGAAAAAAAAAAAUUGAUCACCAUCUCCCCUUCUUGUCCUCCGCCGUAGCAGCCAACUAGGUAGGAUUCCGGCGGUUGGAGUUCGGCCACAAGAAUCUCGUAGAAACCGAGAAGGCUACGAUCGCAAUAUAUCCCUUCGCCACAAAUCACUGAAAGAGUAGGUGCCCAAUAUCAAAGUGGCCUUAUCUACAGCGAUCCCACAUAUAGCAACACUCUUAAGUGUCGAUAAUUUAGCCAAAAGUAUUCAAUAUUGGCUCGACCGUUUCUCACAUCCAAAAUAAAAGCUUACGGGAAAAAAAAAAUAAAGAAUUUAAUACAAAAAAAAGUGAAUUUAAAAGCACUACAACAAAGGGUUGCACUAAACUAAAAAAAAAAAAUUACUUUACAUAAAAGUAAAAAAUGGUCUUUUUAUUUUUUUUGACUGGACUGGAAUGAUAUUGCAAUACAGAAAUGUUGAGGGACUAAUUUAAGUUACUAUAUAUACAUAUCAAAAUAGUACAGGAACUGUGCAUAGAUGAUGCAUUUAAUUUGUCCUAGAUUUAAGUUAUUAGGUAGCUUAGUAUUAGAAAUUAAAUUAAACAUUUGCCUCGAUAUGGAUACGGAUCCCCGAAGAAGAAUAAAAUCCACAUCUGAUAUUUUUCAGGUACGCUUUUUGAUCGGAUCAUGUAUCAGAUUCAGGUCUGAGGUGACUACAACUGUCAUUAGGAACUAAUAUCUUGGCUUUGAUUAUUAUUAUUACUAUUAUUAUUAUUAUUAUUAUUUAAUAGAGUGAAAUCUCAUUGUUGAAAUUGUUUUCUUUCUAUAUUUUUAUAGAGAAAGAAAGGUAGCAAGCUGUGUACUUCGUUUUAGUUUCUUAAAAUAAAACUAAAUUCAGCUAAAAAUAUAAAAUAAAUUAAGUUUUGAAUUUAGAACCUCAUAUACUAAUGAUUAAAUUAUUAAUCAACUGCAUUGCCAUACUCAUUAUUGAUAAAAUUAUUAGUUGUUGGCAUGUAAAGGUGGGUACAAAAUGUUUGUAACUUCGUACCAAAAUUGAGUAGUUUGGGGCCCAAAUUAAAGGGAACUCAAGGAGUCCUUUCAUGAUGACCAUUACAAUAGGGAUUGAAUGGCCCUUCACUUUUUCACUAAUAAAAUUAAAAGUAAGAUAAAUGGUAAAAGGCAAACUACUAAAAAAAAAAAAGACAAAAAAAAAAGAAAAUUACCUUUCUUUUAUCUUUAAAAAAAAAACACCCUACAAAAAUAUUACAGUUUUGCAUAAAGGACGCAUGGGAACAAAAAAUCUUAGCAUAAGCGGUAAAAAACUUACUGAUUGACAACUGAGGUCUAAAGUUCGAAAUUUAAUUGCAUUACAUUUCUAGAAAAAUUUAUUUCUAAAAAAAAAUAAAUAAAUUGGCAGUACAUUUAGUAGAUCCAGAUGUAAAUUUUAAAUCAAAUGAAAAGAAAAUUAAAGAUCUAGAAGUUUAACUUUUUGCUUUCGAACUUGUUAAAAUAGCUAGCUGACCACUCUAGAAACUUAAACCGCUAGAUAAUAAUAAUUUAAUAUUUUAUAUUCAACAUAUACGUAUUUUUGCAGUCGUUGCUAUUAAUAAAGUAGAUAAAAUGAAAUCUUUUUAGUAUUUGUGCGGUAAACUUGAUUAUAUUCAGUAUAUUUCUUCUAAUAAUAAUAAUAAUAAUAAUAAUUUCUGUCACUUCCCGAUCCGGAAGCUUAGUGGGACACGCCACGUACUUGCGACAAACACAAAGAUAAUUAAUUUGCAACCCUUGUAGGCAUCGGGACACAGCAAUCUAGAAUAAUAGCACAUGAUAAAAAAUUUGUAUAGAAAGUGCCCAAUGAAAAUAACAUAAUACAUGAGUUUCCAUAUCCAACAAAUAAAAUCACAAUUCCAAUUAGAAUAUUAUAAAUCCAUGCACCUACAACUUAUUUGUGGGAACUCUACAAUUCUAUUUUAAUUUGACCAUCCAGCUAAAAGGCUAACUAGUCAGUCUCAUGGCCUCACGUUGUAUCACGCCUAUUCCCACUAGAUGUACCUGAAAAAUAUGGUACAUAAUAGAAUAAAAUAGUAUAAUAAACUUUUCAAUAGGUACAACGAGCUGGCGGAGACAAGCUAUUAAUUACUAUCAAUCUAACCAGAAAGAGUACAACAGAAACAGAAAUAGAAACAGUAAUAUAAAUAAACGAUCAGAAAAAUGAGCAUUCCAGUAAGAAUAACUAAUGCUAUAACUGUUAUCCGGCGAAUAGUCAGUGAAUGAAGUGAAAGGUACAAUUGGAGAUCUAGUUUAUGCAUCAAACUUAAUAUACGAAGUCUCAAAUUUAUCUUUGAUCCAACCAGCAGGGUAUGUUCUUUUCGAUUCGGUGCCAUAGAAUCUAAUCGCAACUGUCUAAGCUCAAUGUGAAUCACUGCCUAGCAGGUCGAGUCGCAACCACUCUUUAGAAAGAGCCCACCCCACCACAAGAUUGCAAUCUUAUACGACAGUAGUAAAUAAAUAGCAUAGAACACAGUGACAAGUCGCCAUGCUUAUGAUCAAGGCUCCAACACAAUAACAAAAACACUAGUCCACAACUACAAGUUGUCGACAAAAAUAAUAUCCAAGAGCCAAACCAAAUUGUAUAACCAAAACUAAGUGUUUGUAUAGAGAUAUCAUGAUAGGAAUAAUCCUCAACGAAACAUGCUUACUACUCAUGCAUAUAUAACGAAAUAAUAAUUUAGAUAUAUUAUAACAAGAACAGAUGCAGUUAUAAAAUUAAACAAAUUAUAUCAAUACCACAUCUCAAUAUAAAGAUUGAAAAACUGACAGGAAGGAUUAUCCCAACUUAAAGACCAAAAUCAUAAAUAAAGAAGGAUAAAAGUCAAGUUAAGUAGUAAAAACUCUAACCACACAAGUCCAAAAAGGAAUUCACUUACUUCAAGUCAUUUCCAAACCAAAAGUAAGCAAGUAUUUCCAUUAAAUAUCUACUAAACCAUUUUUUAAUAUAAUAUUUAUAAUGGUUUAUACUUACAUUUGAUGUUAAAUUUAUUAAUUGUUAGAUGAGAAAUGGUGAAUCUUAUUUAUAUUUAAUACUUCGUUUUUAAUAUAAUACGAUUAAUCCCNAAUUGAUAAGGAUGCAUGAGGUUAGAGUUACACGUGGCAUCCUUAUCCACUACUAGUCUACCAACUCAAAUAAAAACAAAAUUAAGGAUACUACACCCUUAUUCUCAGAUCAACAAUACGAGAUUAUUAUUUUUUCUAUUAAUUUUUGAACAAUACUACUGUUACAUCUAAAAAAAUAUAUAUUAAUCUUAAAUUCUCUCAUUCAUGAGUUCAUAUUGUGCCCUUAUAUAUUUUGUCAAAAAAUUAUACUAAAAAUCUAUAAAAAAAAUUCUAAAUGUAGGAUAAAGGAGCGUAAAAAUUUUAAUUUCUUUUUGGGUCUAAAGUAAAAGUAGUAUUUAUUUUUUUAAAAAAAAGGACGAAGGGAACAAGGGUGAGAAAUAUAUAAUAGGAAAAAUAGACCGUAUUAUUGUUAUUUUGCAAGAUAGUCCUUUCUACUUUAUAAAAUUACAAACUAUUAACUUUGGACCAUAUAUUAAUCAUAUGGUUUUCUACUGGUUUGUUUGAUCCUAAAUUCGAACUUUGAAUUAAUUUAAAACUCUCUAUUACUAUAGAAAUUUUUAAUUUAAUUUUUGAUUAUCUAACUGUAGCGAUCAAAUUUUUUCCUUCUAUUUUCUUUUAUUACAAAUUUUUCGGAUAAAAAUUCUUCAUCUGAAUUAAUUUUAUCCGUAAAUAUCGUCUUAUUUAACAUUUAAUAUAAUUUGAUUAUUUCCCUCUCCUCUCAUUAACAUAUUUAAUUUGAUUAUGAUUUAGAGUGCACUCCCAUCAAUUCAAACCCUUUAUCACGAUGGGUCAUCACCAAUUCUUAAAACUAUGUUAAAAGGCUCGAAGCAAUCCAAAAUUUUAAUAUUCUUAUACAUACAUAUCCAAUAUAUUUUGGAAUAAUUGCAUAUGAUUUCUUGCAGAAAUAUCAUAUAGAAAGUAAAUUUUUACAAAAGUUGAGUGAUCAAAUUUGUGACUCCAAAAAUCUUUUUGUUUGCAAAUAUAUCUUUCUGUUAAAAAAAAUAUUGAUAACGAUGAGUAAAAAAAUAUAAUAAUAAUAACUACGGUUAGACAAAGAGUAAAAUGACUUAUUUACCUGAGUAGAACUACUAUGCUAAGCAUAGAGAAUCCGGUGCUUCCGAUUUUUUGGCACUUAGAUCAACUCCUUUGAUCAUUUCUAACAUUUGGAUUAAUACUAUUACUCUGUGGGGACCACUCAACCCUAAGGGUACUAUUCAACUCUGGAGGAAACCGCUAUCGAUCAUUCCAACCGCAUAAUUUUUGAUCCAACGGUCAAAAAGUUGGAAGCAUCAGAUUCUCUAUACUUUCCAUAAUAUAGUAGCUCUACACUAUUUACCUCUUAUAUAUAUAUAUAUAUAAUUUGUACAAUAUUGAGUUCUACCACCUUUCCCUCCUCUUCUCUUUGCCUAUGUCAGUAGCGAGGCCUAUAGUGCUGAAGGCAUGGCGAGGGCUUGGCGCAACGAAGAUGAGAUAUAUCGCACGGUUGGUUGUGAAGGUAAGGGAAGAGAGAAAGAAAAAUAGCUUCUUUCAGGACAAGUUUGUCAGAGCAAAAUUAUAAUUUCACGUAUCCACCGUCAGAAAAUUAAUUGUGGAUUAAACUAUAGGAACAAAUAUAAACGUAUCAAAACUUUUCGAUGGAUAUAUUUGCAAAUAAUAAAAUUUUCGAAAAGAUAAAUUUGAUUAUUUAAAUAUUAUAAAAUUUUACCUGCUAUUCGAGACCUUUGCAAGGAGCUUAAACCAGCAUCUUUAUCACUCACAAGUGAAGAAAUUUAGAACAAAAAUAAAAAUUAUUCUAUAUAUUAUUUUCUAUUUGAAUAUAUUUUUUUGGAUUGUUAUCAACUAAAUAAGUUUGCUGGUGCUAAUAGCUUUCAAUUGCGAUGGUAUUCUAGAAGAACUAUAAUGGCUCGAAUUCGAACUCAUAAAAAAUGACGUGACGGAAAGAUUUUUAUGGAGUGUUAGGACGUCUAUGAAUAAGACUCCAAUAUAAAUAAAUAAAUAAGAUUUUUUCUUUACCUUUUUCCCAAAAUAUGAAUUUCCUAAAAAAAAAAUUCAUUUUUUCUUUUUAUCCUGAACACAAAAAAAAAAAAAAAGGCAAAACCUACCUAACAUGGAGGUGCUGAGAUGUCAUAUCUAAAAUACCCAGGGGCAAAACGGUCAAAUUAACGACCAGGCCAUUCACACUGCUACAAAGCUAGUAAGUGGCGGGUUUACUUUUUCACUUCACACUUUAUUACAGGACGGAGCCUACCUCAUCCAAGUGAAUUUCCAAUUUUGCCCCUCUUCUCACCUAUAAGAACCUAACUCCCUCCCCUCAUCUCUCUCCAAGAAACUGCUCCAUAAAAGUACAGAUUUUGGGAGCAAAUUCACUCCCAAUGGCUUCUUCUACCGAGAUUUUCGGCGCACUUCGGUAUCAAAAAUCUCCACGUUUUCAUUCUCCGAACUCUCUGCACCUCCGCAGCCGCGCGAACUACCUCUAUUUUCCCCCUGCUUCGCUUCCUUUGAAGCAGGGGAGGGGGUACGGCCCGCGAAAAUCGCGAAAGGUCGCGACUUCCGCGACGGCAACCGAGGAUAAGGCGGUGAGGGUGGAGACGGAGAAGCCCGCGAAGCUGAGAAUAAGCGCGACAGUGACAGUGAGGAGGAAGAAGAAGGAGGAUAUCGUAGAAAUGAUCACGAACCAAAUCGACACGUGCGCAGAUAAGAUGGGCCGCAGUGUUGUCUUAGAACUCGUUAGCACCGAAAUCGAUCCAAGUACGCUUAUGAUUUCUACGGGCUUUGAAAAAAAAAUUUGAUUCAAGUUUUGAUCUUUAUUAUACCACUGUUCAUGCUUAGAAUCGUACAAGGUACAGGUUUUCAUUGUAACGGCUCCAGCUAUUUGUUGACUUUUUCUGCACCUUUGACUUAGUUUUGAUGCAUGCAUGUAGCGCUAUCUCAUUGAGCAUUUAAUUUAAUAACAAUAUUGUUCUCCAACACGGUGUGCAUAGUCGUAACAUAUCACACGGAUCAUACUGAUUCAGCUAAAAUAUAAAUUUAUAAUAAAUAGUUUGUAGAGAUUUAUUUUUAAAUAAAAUUUUAGUUAUAAUUAGCUCUUCUUUUUGUGUAUUUAAGUUACUAAGGGUCCGAAAACAAGCAAACAGGCCGAGCUGGUGGACAAGUCCGAGAAGAAGGACGUAAAGGCCCGACAAGUCGUGUACAUCGCUGAGUUCACAGUCGAGUCCGACUUCGGCGAGCCGGGUGCGAUCACGGUCCUCAAUCGGCACCACAGGGAGUUCUUUCUGGAGAGUGUUGUGGCCGACGGCUUCGAUAGCGGGCCGGUCCACUUCACUUGCCAAUCGUGGGUCCAGCCCGCCAGAAUCCAGCCCAAGAAGAGGGUGUUCUUUACUAACAAGGUCAACUCUUGCUCCUUCCUAGAUGCACUAAAAAGCUGUCUGGUGCACGCGGCUGCAACUGCACUAUAGUUUUAACUAUGUUCAUAUUUAAAUUCAGUAUUUGAUUUGAUAUAAUUGAAUUCAACUAUUGCAUUAAAAUUAUGAGUUGUAAAUUGGCCGCAAUUCUAACUGCAGUCGUUGAAAAAAUAAUAAUAGUAACUAAUCGUAUCUACUUAAUCAUCUUUUACAAUUCUAAAUCUUUGCAGCACUUUCUACUAAUUCAUCCAACUAAAUGAAAUAUAUAUAGCCGUAACUAUUAUGUUUUUAAUUGCAUGCAUUUUCAAGUGUACUAUACUCAAAAUUGCAUUCAAGCAAAUGCCCCUAACUUCAAUUGCAAGUAACUUUGGAUUGGCCCUUACAAAAGAAAACUACUCAACCAGUCAAUUUAAUUACUUUCUCCAAAAUUUUAGGCUUCUAUACCUACACUCUCCACAUUGCUUUUUUCGUAGUUCGUUCAUAGAGCUCAGAAAGGUUAAACAUGUUAACAAACAGAUCACCAAAAAUAAUACACCAUAAGAGCCAAAAUAUUUUUUAAAACACUAUCUUCUAGUUGUACGGAUGUAUCAAGUUAUGUAUUUUGAGGCUAAAAAAUUCUAAAUAUCGAACUAAUGAAUCUUUCGGCCUUUUGUUAUGUGAAAAACAGCCUUAUUUGCCGUCAGAGACACCCCCUGGGUUAAGAGAGUUGAGAGAGCAGGAGCUAAAAGAGUUGAGAGGAGAUGGGACGGGAGAACGAAAGCUCACAGAUCGGAUUUACGACUACGCCACUUAUAACGACUUGGGUAACCCGGACAAGGGGACGGAGUAUGCUCGUCGAGUGCUCGGAGGAGAUCGAGUUCCUUAUCCGCGGCGAUUGAGAACUGGGAGGCCCCCGACUAUUUCAGGUAAACUAAUGGCUUAAGAUUUAUAAGUUAUAGCUAAGCGAAUAAGAUCUUGUUUGGCUCCGCUUCUUCUGCUUUAGCCAUUCAUAAUUCUAAGUCCAAAUUAGCUGUUUGGUUAGAUUCUUAUAAGUGUCCACAGGUUGGGCAAUCAUAAUAUAGCACCGGAUUUUAUGUUAUUUACUACGUACCGUACUAUUGUGUGGUCCAUUUUAGUACCACACAGUUGGAUCUGAUAGGUUCUAAGUUUUUAAGGACACUGAAGGUUUCAUUUCAUCUCGUUCAUCGCUCAACAAAUAGCAAAAGUGGUUAUUUGUAACAUGAAUUUAAGAUCGAAUUGGAAAUUGUCAUUCGAAUAAAAUUAGAGGCAAAUAGCUAGAUUAAGUUUACAAAUUCCCAGCAUAUUUUAGAUGUGUGAAGAGUAUAUCAUCAUGAACACGUUUUAAGAAAUGAUUUAUUGAGCAACUAUCACAAUUUUGUGUGGGAACUAGUUGAACGCACACAACAUCAAUAUCUUAACACAACUUUUGCGAGAUGUCCUCAGCAUCCACUAUUAUGUUGAGAAUUAGAUGGUGGAGACAAUUUAGAACAAUUUAACUAGAGAGCAAGCGCAGUCCGAAAGCGUUUUUCCACUCCAAAACCCUUUUUUUGUCGAGUGAUCACAAACGCAUGGCAGUGGAGCUAGGUAGGAAGGGUUUUUUUUUUUAAGAAAAAUAUAGUACACUAUCCACUUUAUUCAAUAGAAAAAUAAAUUUUGCAUCGAGAUGGAGACAGUUGAGACAUCACAAAACAAAAGGGAAAAGAGCACGCAAAAAAAAAAAAGGGUACACAAAAAGGAUCAAGAGAAAAAAAAUUAAAGUGUCGAAUGUCUGCCAAAAUUCUAACGCGAGUUUUUAAUUACUUCUGUUUUUAAAAAUAAUAUUAUUUCUUUCCAACCAGAUAGAUAACUCUCCAAGUUGCCAAAUGUCUAGUGAAAUCGUCAAUCAUCUUAUGUACAUCACAGUAUAUAUCAUGUGCUUUGGCCCUCCCAUGCACCAUGCUAACACCUUGGGCCCAGCAUUCAUCCCAACAACCACUCUCUCAAACUCAUGUAGCUUAUUUUGUCCGGAACUUAAAUUAGAUUCACUCCAUAACUAACAACCAGGCAUUUGCAUUUGCAUUUGCAUUUGCUGCCUCUUGCAAGCAAAGCGCAGGACCCAACAAUCAAAUCAUCUACAGGAGAGUCUAAAUAGAUAGGAGUUUUUGUGAGGAAUUUUUAAGGAAAAUAUAGGCAGAUUCAGAAGCAUGUACAACUGAUAAAUAAGAAAGAAGAUAAGAAUUUAACUGUGGUGGAUUUGAAAUAGUUCUAGGAUUAAACCUCUUAAUUCGACUAUAGCAUUAAUUUUGAACGGUGGUUAAGCUUAAAAAGUUAGAAAAGUUAAACGUAUUAGGAUUAGAAUAAUUUUAGAAUGAAUGAUUCUUGUGAGAAAUGAGAUAUCUCAGUCUCGUGGACCUAGAAAUACAUGACCCUAGGAUUACAUGUUUAUUAGUACUGCUACGUACAGAUCUCCUAUAAUGUAGGCCGCGUAUAUAUUGUUAAUAUAUAUAUAUAUAUAGAGAGAGAGAGAGAGGAAAAGUAGGACUACGAUACUUUUAUGAGUAUAUAGCUCUUUCUACUUAUAAGUUGUUUUCGAUGAUAGAACUUCCGAAUCAAUGGUUCACUUCAUUAAAUAUGAUCUAGAAUAUUUGAAACUUUUAAAAAAUAAAUUUUAUAAUUUUUUAAAAUUAUAAUAUAGUUCAUAAAGUGGGCAUAAAAUAAAUGGUCAAAGUCAAACGAUGUCUUAAAAAUGGAUGAUUGGAUUCUUUAAUUUAAAAUCCGAGUUAAUUAUUAAUCUUUAUCUAGAUAGUGAAUAGAAUUUUCUAUCAAAAUUUCAACCGAUUUUAAUUUUUUUUAUACCGUUAAACUAACAAGUAUCUCAUACCGGUCGUUAAAAAUUAUCAAUUUUGAAAUCUUUUGCUCGUAAGGUAAACGAUGUCAAAAAAUUAUAAAAUUUGAUUUCUAGAAGUUUUAAAUGCUCUAGAUAACAGUAUGGAUUGUCGAUACGGAAACUCUAUCAUUGAAAAUGACCUAUGAGUUCGAAAGCAAUAUCAUACUCAUAAAAAUAUAGUAGAGGGCACAUCAUCGAGUUUCCCACCGUUAGAUUUAACCCUUUGAUUAUUUUUAUCCGUUAAAUUAUACUAUUCAACCAUUAAUUCACUCAAUCUUAGAGGGCACAUCAUCGUAACUGUACAUUUUUUCAUCCAAUGACCUAUAACCUAAUAGUACCAAUUGCUCGACACUAUUGAUAGUAUUCCGGUCUAAUUUAUAUAUAUAUAAAAGAAUUUGAUUGAGCACAUCCAGCCACUCAUAAAUGCGACGUUACGGGGGGAACCCACGGCGAUGGUAGGGUCGUCUGCUCGGAAGGGAAGAUGCAUUCAACGUCCGGCAAAAGACAGCUCAACAUCGCGUCAAUUAUGCAACAAAAAAUUAUGGAUCCUGUGCGUCCUGACACCAACAAGUGACGGUCGGAUUUAAUUGUGCGGGCCCCACGUAAACACAAACGGUACUGUGCAUGGAGAUCAGGGAUUUAAUUGAAUUGUACUGUAAACGAAACCGCGGCCGCAGAUUCGCACGGUGGGUUCGCGUACCUGAAAGAGACUUGACGGCGAAAGUCGACGUGUCCGCAUCUGGGUCGUUAAGAUUUUUUGUGGUGUUCUUUUGAUUGAUUUUUUAAAAAAAAUUUUUGGGUGCCAAAGUGUUUUUUUUUUUUAACUUAUUAGCAUGCAGAAAUUUUAUUUACAAAUGCAGUACUAUUUUAAGGAUCCGAUGCAUUUUUAAAAAAAAAAAUUUUAAAAGGGUGGUGAUGAGCUAGUAAUACCGAAAUCUUUAUCACUAUCGUGUUUUAAGUUUGAUAUAUAUAUAUUUGUAUACUAUAUAUAAUUGAACUUUUAUAUUUUUAAAAAUAUCAAGUUAUUAAUACUUUUAAGUUUUCUGCUCUUUUUUUUUUAGAGAUAGGUAGCAUGCACGCUAUCCGCUUCGUUUAUUUUAUUUAGAAAUAAACUUAGCUAGAAAUGUGAAUCAACUAGGAUUCAAACUUGGGACCUCGGGUACCAACCACCAAGCCCUUUGUUAUUUGCUCUAGAGACGAUCAGUAAGUUUUCUGCUCUUAAAUUAACAGAUGUACGAUUAGAAUGAUAGUGGUUUUAUAAGGUUGAGUGGAUAGUUGUUUGAAUAGUAUGAUCUAACAGAUAGAAAUGGUCAAAGGGAUAGAUCUAACGGCGGAAAACUCAAUAGCACAAAUCGCUCGGUGUUAUCGAUAGUAUAGUAGCACAAAUCGCUCGGUGUUAUCGAUAGUAUUAGAGACAUUUUUUUGGUUUUUUUUUUUCACUUUUUAUGUUGGAGAAUUUAUUUCUUGGACUUCAUUUAAAUGGAUAAUAAGCAAUUUUUUGUAUACAAAUUUAUUUGAUGAUUGAAACAAAAAUAUUAAUAAUUGCCAUGCAAAAGAGCUUAUUAUCACGAUCUUAACGUUUUUGUUCGCAAAGACCGUGCAGCGCCCGCCUUCCUAUUUGAAAAUGGGCAAGUCUAACUCCUUAUUAGGGCUGGCAAACGAGCGAGCCGGCUCGCGUUCGACUCGUGUUCGGCUCGAUAUUCGACUCGAAAUUAAAUGAGCCGAGCUUCAACAAAAUAAAAGGCUCGAAAUUCAUUUCAAGCCGAGCUUGAGUAUUACUCGGCUCGUUCGAAUUAGGCUCGAAAAGCUCGAAAACCUCGAAUAUAUAUAUAUAUAUAUAUAUAAUGUAUUUUAAUUAUAUAUAGGCUUUAAUUUAAUUUGGGUCAUUAUUGUUGGCCCAUAAAAUAAACCCAACAAGUACAACCGUACAAUUGAGCCCAACACUAAAUUUACAUAACAUACUCUUUCUUUCAGACUUUCACUGCUGCACAUAACCCUAAAAUAUGAUAACAUUCAUAUUCCCAAAUCCCUAAUUUUUUUUCCCCUCUCUCUCUCUCUCUCUCUCUCUCUCUCUCUCUCACAGACCCUCACCCAGUCAGGCAGUCACCCUAUCUCACAUUUCUUGCAAUUAUUUUGUAUUUUGAACUAUUGGAUAUGUUGCAUCAAAUUGUAGGUAAUGUUAUAUAAAAAUUAAACUAUUGAUUAUAUAUUGUCGAGAAUUUCAAUCGGCUCGUUUAGAGCUCGAGCUCGGCUCGACUCGAAAUUAGGCUCGCUCGAGCUCCGCUCGAAUUAAUUUCAAGCCGAGUUUGAGCCUAGAUUUAGGCUCGAAAUUAAUUUCAAGCCGAAUUUGAGCUGACAUAAGCUCGCUCGAGCUCGGCUCGUUUCCACCCCUACUCCUUAUUGCUAGUCUGGACCUUCGCACCCUACGACUAAGAAUGCAAAAAGAAGAGAAAAGAGAAGGACAGAGAUUUUCGAAAAAUUAAAUACUUCACUAUUUAGAAAAAUAGGACUACAAUGCAAAACUCCUCUUGUAUCUCAAUCUUCUACUUCUACUUUGGCCUUAGCCAACCCUUAUACUUAUAAGCUCCUAAAUACAUUGAAUUUAGUAUACACUAACUCACCAUUAAGCACACAUUAAAACACACAUUAACUCACCUACUAUCACAUAGUAAUGAGCUGCCCAUGUCUCUUGGGUUUUCGCCGGCGGUUGUGGAGGCAUUAAUUGCAGCAAUUACAUAACCCUUCUUCUCAAAUAAAAGACCGCUGAUUUUGGGCAUUCUUAACAACCCGUUCCACUAGCAAAGAUAGGCCAGGAACUUGGCCGCAUUGAAAAAUCGUUGAAUCCCUGAUAUUAUGCUACAUUUUGACUGGUUUGGUUCUCAAAUAACAUGGUAGGAAAAGCGCAAGUGCAGUAUUUUUUAAAAUUUAGGCCUAAAGUGGGUAAUAGUAAUGAAAAAUGUAUGAACCAAGUCACAAAAUAUCUCGAUAAUUAAAAAGCCGUUAAAGUUUCUGAUUAUAUGGAUAUUUCGAGUAACAUAGUAUUAGAAUCAAUUCUAAAUUUCUAUCGUUCUAUAUUUAAUCUCUACCUUCAGCAGCUAAUUUUUAUUUAUAAAAAAAUCAAUCUUUUGAGUAGCAUGACCUGCUCUGAAAUUAUUUACAUUUCUUUUUUUUUUCUUUUCUCUAGACAUUCAUACAGAGAGUAGGGUGGAGGAACCCCAGCCGAUGUACGUACCGCGACGAGGCAUUCGAGGAGGAGAAGCAGGAGAUGUUCCGUGCGGGCGAGCGCAGGGCGAAGCUCCACGGCCUGCUGCCGUCGAUCGUCGCAUCCCUACGCUCGUUGGAAACCGGCGACGACGACUUUCGGGGAUUUCAUGAGGUGGACAGCCUCUUCAAAGAAGGGCUAGGUUCAAACCGGAGCUUGUUUGAUCACAUUCUCCACAAAGUUCCUUUCGUUAAAGAGAUUCAGGAGUUCGCCGAGGGAAUGCUCCGUUUUGACACUCCCCACAUCAUAGCAAGUAAGUUGAAAGAAAAAAUAUGGUUGAUGCAUGUUUUAUAAUGCCACAUACUUAAAUUUUUUUUUUUCUCACAAGUGCCUGUUUGAUCGAACUUCUUGGUUAGUUCUUUUACACUCGAAACGUAAUUGUUGAUGCGAUAAAAAGUUUUCUGCAUUUCGGGUUCAACACGAAAAAGAACUAAAAUUUAAAAGUUCUGGACUAAAAUUUGUAAGCAACUUUACUCGAACAGCAAUUCUUUAUAAGCUCCAGGAGUGAAAAUAGGUCGUCAUAGGUGUAAAAGCGAAGGAUUUCAAAAUAAUAUGUGAAAAGUUAAAUGCAAAUACACAAAUUUUAUAUAUGUAUUAUAGCCCAAUUUGAAAUGAGAAUGCGAGUUCUAAAUAUUUUGCUUUUACUAUCUAGGAAUAGUCAGUAACUUUUUUUUCUAAAAUAAGACCAUUGAAUUUCUAAAAUCUAGAAAAAACACAAGUUUGAUAGUACAAUUAAAUGUUUUGUAAUUUAGAAUUCAUAUUUCAAAAUAAGUUAUAGAUUGCACGUUUGGCCCUUAAAUUGAGGCAUGCAACACUUUGAUCUUUAAAUUAACUUUAAUUUAUUGUAAUUUUUAACUCGAACUUUCAGGAUUGUUGCGAUCAAGUCCAACAAUCCAAUUUCGUUAACUAAAUAUUGACUCACCGCUUAUGUAAAAUUGAUGAAACAUCCUAAUUCUUCGCUUAUUACUGAUCACGAAACUGCUGUAUUAUUUUCACAUUAACAAUUCAUUAAUAUUUAGUCUACUGAAUUAAGUUAUAAAUUUUAAUUUGCAAUAAUUCUAGAGUUCUAAUAAAAAAUUAUUAUAGUAAAUUAAAGUUUAACGAACAAACUUGGCAUCUCCAUGAUUGUUUGAGGACAAUAUGUGCAAUUUAUCCCAAAAAAGAAAAAGAAAAAGAAAAGUUACUGUAGUGGUUACUGUGGUACUAUGGAGUGUCUACUUGUGUCCAAGUUUCAACAUUUUAAUGGAUAAAAAUAAAAACUACAUCAUCAUGAGCUUUUCGGGUGAAUCAUUAUAAUGCAAUUUAGUAGGUGGUGACUAAUUGGUACGCUUUAUCAUUUUGUGUAGGAACAAUAAUAUCUAGGUUCAUAAUUUUAAAUAGAUCUAGUUAUUAAAGAUAACUAUUGAAUUCAACAAUAAAACUUAGUAAAAAUAAUUUUAUAGAUAAAAAAAAAAAAAAAUACUUCAAAUAUCGUACUUGUGAUUUUGUACUUUCUCACUUAGUACCUUAUGAUUUAAAGUGUAUCACUUUCGUACCUGUAGUUUUAUCUUUCUCUUUUUGUUAUUCCUUUUACUAAUUUUUUUUGUUAAAUUAGUGACAAAUUUAAAAUUAAAGAAUAUUAAAGUGAAUANUGGUUUUAUUUUUUUCUUUUUGUCACCCCUUUGUUAACUUUUCGUUAAAUCAUAUAUAAAAAAAUUUCAGAUAACUUUUUGUUAAAUCGAAUACCUGUAGUUUUAUCUUUCUCUUUUUGUUAUUCCUUUUACUAAUUUUUUUUGUUAAAUUAGUGACAAAUUUAAAAUUAAAGAAUAUUAAAGUGAAUAUUAAAUAAACUACUGGUAUUCGAUUUAACAAAAAGUUAUCUGAAAUUUUUUUAUAUAUGAUUUAACGAAAAGUUAACAAAGGGGUGACAAAAAGAAAAAAAUAAAACCACAGAGUACUAAAUUGAUAUACUUUAAACUACAGAGUACUAAAGUGAAAAUGUGCGAAAUCACAAGGGUGGAAAUUAAAGUUUACCCUAGAUAAAAUUACUUACAGGUGCUGCAAUACAAUUCUAUAAUUUUAAUAAAAUUGCUGCUGGCUAAAUUAUUAAGUUUGAUAGUAUUAGUAAAAUAGAAAAUCUCUAUAUCUAAAACUUUUAAUCUAUUUUUUGAGUUGCAAAUUAUGGAGAUGUUUAACUGCUUAAUAAUGUGAUACGACUACUCAUUUAGAUGGUCCAAAGCUCUAACCAAUUAGAUGGUCCAUAGCCUAUAUAUGUUUUACAAAUUUCAAAAGUAUUCUUUGUGGUCCAUUAGUACGAAGGAUAAGAUUACGCCAAUUCUUCGAUAGGUGUUCUUUUUGGACCAAUAAUUUUCUCGCACCAUAUUGGCGUACUUUGGAAUAAGUUUUGGCUCACUAUACUUCGAUUGUUUUAGUGGUGUUAGUCCUCAAUUAAUGUGAAAAUAUUUUAUCGAUUAUUCAUGCAACAUUGAAAUUCAGUGGUUUACAUGAUUAACCGCAUAUGGAACAAUUUCACAUUCAGAAGAUCUUUUCUCAAAAAGAAGCGGAGUUUGGAAUCUUUUAGCCAAUUUAGAUUUGAUCGUAUCGUAAGAUAUUUUUGAAUACAUUGGUGUGAGUUCCUUAAAAUGUUGUAUUUAUAUUUUGAUUACAGUUAUUUAUGAUGGGAAGAAUUUUAAUUAAUUCAUGCGCACAUUUUAAAAAUAUUAUAUUAGCCAAUUCAUUUUUAAUUUGGAAGGAGCCUUUGAUAGUUAUUAAUCGUCACCAAUUAUCACUCACGUAAGUCGUCGAAAAUUACUGUAGCCUAGGUUGUACAUGAUCCGGGAAUUGGCACGUGGCAACAGCUCAUAAGAUUACUACACCCAAUCAAUGCAUGCCAUGUCAUUAUCCAGGAUUUUCUGGGACCCACCCAUUUUAACAAAUUUUAUUUAGAUUUCUUUUAGUGUUCAUUUUAACUUUUAAAAGUUAGCAUUAAUCACCCGAGCAAGCACUUCAUUGAAAAAAAUAUAUAUUUGGAUUCAUAUUAAUGUUAUAAUAAAGAUGAGAUAAUUAUCUGUAAAUACGUUAUCGCAGAUGACAAGUUUGCAUGGAUGCGCGACGAUGAGUUCGCACGCCAAACACUCGCCGGCAUUAACCCUGUCAGUAUAGAGCGGCUCCGGGUAACUCUCCACGACUUCCAAGAGCAUAAUUUUCGUCAUUUGAAAAAAAAAUUUACCCAAAAUAUCUUCAGAUGUUACGAGUGUGCUUAACAAACUUUAGGGAUAUGAUCUAUUAAAUAUAAAAACAUAUAAAUAUUAUUCUCAAACAACUUAAACUUUGAGGGACCGUUUGGUUAGAUGUAGUUAUAAAUACAGUGUAGUUAGAGAUACAUGCAGUUAGAAAUACAACAGCUAUAACUACAUGAAUCUUAUUUAGUUGGAUGUAACAGAAAGCGCUGCAAGUAUAAAUAAUUUGUUUAGUUGCAUGCAGUUGAGAAAUAAUUUUUAAAAUUUUAUUAUUUUAUAUAUAUGAUGGUGAGAUUACCUCCAAUGUAAAAAAUAAUAAUAAUAAUUUUUGUUUAAAAAAUAUUGAGGAGGUAAGUAUAUCUUUUAUUUAAAAUUACUCUCUCCAUCUGCUGUAGUUGGAACUGUGGGCCAAUUUGGGCGUAGUUCGAACUGCUACAGUUGGGCCUCCUCCUGCAAUUCCUCCUGCAACAGUAGGAGUUAAAUAUAUCAAAUCAAACACGAAAUUUGUAUUUACAUACAGUUACAACUAUAGUGCAGUUACAACUACAUGCAACCAAACGGUCCCUUAGAGCACAACGGUUGAUUAACAUAGUAUCAAACAUGAGGAAAGUGUUAAAUAUAAAAAUAUAUAAAUAUUGUUAUCUAACAAUUUAACCUUUUAGUCUAGAGUGGUAACUUAAAGUACAGCGAUUGUUUCACAUGAUCGCCUUUUCAGGUGUUCCCACCUGUUAGCAAACUUGAUCCGGCUACCUAUGGGCCUCCUGAAUCUGCCAUCAGAGAAGAACACAUCAUCGGCCAUUUAGAGGGCAUGUCAAUUCAAAAGGUGAUUAUUCUAUUUAUUGAAAAUUUUAAUUUUUAUUAUCUAAUUUUUAUUUCUAUAUAUGUUUUUUUUUUUUCGUAUAUUCAUUUUCUUUUAAUACCGUGGCAGGCGUUGGAGGAGAACAAAUUAUACAUUUUGGAUUACCACGACACCUACCUUCCUUUCAUCGACCAAAUCAACGCGCAAGACGGCCGAAAGGCCUACGCAACUCGCACGCUAUUCUACCUGACGGAUCUCGGGACCCUGAAGCCGAUAGCGAUCGAGCUCAGCCUCCCUCCGAUGACCAAGAACUGCCCUCGCGCGAAGCGCGUCCUCACGCCGCCCGCCGACGCCACCACCAGCUGGUUGUGGCAGCUGGCCAAGGCCCAUGUUUGCGCCAACGACGCGGGCGUCCACCAACUCAUCAAUCAUUGGUAAAUGAAAUAUAAUAGGACAUACUCUUUCUGAUGUCAUGUCACUUUAAAGAUCAAGUACGAUGGAUGGAACCGUCACAGAUUUGAAAUCUUUUUUUUUUUUUUCUUUCUUUUUUUAUUUAUGAUCGAAUGUUUGUAACCGAGUUUGAAAUAUUUGGGGUACAUAGGUUGAGGACGCACGCGUGCGUGGAGCCGUUCAUAAUAGCUGCGCAUCGGCAGUUAAGCGCGAUGCACCAGCUGCUGAAGCCUCACAUGAGGUACACCCUGCAGAUCAACGCCCUCGCGCGCCAGACCCUCGUCAACGCCGGCGGAGUCGUCGAGUCCGGCUUCACCCCCGGAAAGUUCUGCAUGGAGAUGAGCGCCGCCGCGUACCGGGAUCACUGGCGCUUCGACCAGGAGGGCCUCCCCGCCGAUCUUAUCAGAAGGUAUUGUUAUUGUUGUUAUGGUUAUUGGUCUUGUUGUUGUUAAUAUUAUUAUUUAUUAUUAGCUAACUAAAGUUAUGUUUUAGAUUAAUAAAUUUGACUCGAAAUUUUAAUUUUAAAUUUUAAACUUCAAAUUUUUAAAAUAACUUAAAUUAUGUAAAAUUUUUUAUAAAUAUUUAUUUUUUUGACUUUUCCUUUCUAACUGUCAAAAAUUUAUAUUUUUCUCUCUCAAUAUUUUCUGUUGUUGCAUUUAGUCCCCUUCCCCGUCGCGGUUCUAUCAACUAUUUCAUCAAUUUCUUAUAAUUUAUACCGAAAGUACCCUUCAAAAUAAUAAAAAUAAAUUAUUUUUUUUCUUAUAAAAGAAGUGUGGAUAAUUUGGUUAUUUUGCGCUUUCUACUGACGUCGUACCCUCUGAAAAUUUUUCUUAAAUUUCAAUGAGCCAAAAUAUAGAAUUUUAAAAGUCAGAAAGAAAAGUGAGAAAACGAAUAUUUACAUGGAGAUUUAAUCUCCAGUAAUUUAGCCUUUUGUUGUUUUUGAUAACAUUAAAAAAGAAAAAAGCAGCUAAAGAUUUUUUGAAAAAGGAAUUAAUGUAUGUUAACAAGUGUAGGGGGAUGGCGGUGGAGGACCCGCGGGAGGCGAGCGGGGUGCGGCUGGUGAUCGAGGACUAUCCGUACGCGGCGGACGGGCUGCUGCUGUGGUCGGCGAUGGAGCGGUGGGUGCGCACCUACGUCGCCGCCUACUACCCCACCCCGCACCGCCUGCGCGCCGACGCCGAGCUGCAGCGCUGGUACGCCGAGGCCCUGCGCUCCGGCCACCCCGACAAGCGCCACGCCCCCGGCUGGCCCCCGCUCGCCGCGGUGGCGGACACGCUCUCGACCAACUCUGGCCACGAGGAGUACCUCAUCGAGGAGCUCCGCGGGGACUGGACCGGGGACGCAGAGAUGGCGCGUGCGGAGUUGGGGUUCACGGCGGAGGUGCGACGCGCGGGGGAGGAGAUCGCACGGUGGAACGCCGACCCGGCGCGGCGCAACCGGUGCGGGGCCGGGGUGCCGCCCUACGAGCUCAUGGCGCCCACCUCCGGCCCCGGGGUCACCUACCGCGGCGUCCCUAAUAGCAUCGCCAUUUAUUUUUAAUUUUAAUUUUAAUUUUAAUUAUUAUUACUUUACUUUUAUAAAUUUCUUUCUUUUUUUUUUCCUUGAUACUGUUGCAAAUAGAAAAUGAGAGAUGGCAAUCGCUUCUCUUCGUAAGAGAUCCCCACAUGGCUCAGCAACGCGGCUGUGCUCCUUACCCCCGCCCGCCUGGAUCUUCGGUUCAACUCCCUCUCUGGCCCCAUUCCCUUCACCUUCUCUGUUGCAGACCUCAGAUUUCGAUUGCAACGGCAAUAAUGUUUUGUCAUCGCUUCUAUCUCCAUCAGACUCAUGCAAAAAAUGAGUGGCAGGUGUGUAGCAUCAUACGUUCAUUUUUAUGUUAUUCUCCUGCAAUUCUUAUACAAAAUCCNUUAUGAGAAGUAUGCUUUCCAAAUCACGAAGAUUUUCGAGCUUUUAAUCUGUUUUUGAUUAUAGGCCAUCUGAUUCAGCUAUUUGUGUAAAGAAACUAAUAGCCUCAUAAUAAAUCGUUGAAAAUAAAAAUCUCAUAAAAAAUAAUAAUAGUGAACUUAAACUUCAAAUCGGAGACUAUUGAUCUUGCCCUCGAUGUUAAAUAAAAAUUUCUAUUAAAAUUUUUAGGACCUUAGAUCAAUUUGUAAAUAACGGCGAAAAAUUUAAAUAAUUUGGUUUCUAAGUAAUUUUAAUAGUAUAAAGCGUGUCUAACGGAAUAUCUAGCCGAAUCGGAUGUUUUAUCAUCGAGCAUAAUUUGAAAAUAUGAAAGCCUUCGCACUUUGAAAAGUAUACAAGCUGAACUCGAUUAUAUGGUGUAUGAAUCAUUCAAAAUGUAGCCUUAAAAUGCAUCAGAAGAGAAACAGCGGACGCUUUUGAGCUCCACAACUGCUAAAUAGUUCGCCUCAAAAUUCGUACAAAAAGCUCCAAAAACGUUUCACAAACUGAUGAGUUUGAAUGAUUAAAUUUAUUCAGUAACAUUGUGAUCCGUAGACAACCGUCGAUAAAAUACGUUGCCUAAAUAAGUUUGUUGAGAGUCUGAAACAUUUGUGAGUGCAGCAGUACUUAUUUUUCAUCAUAGAUCUUCGCACAAGUCGCUCGGUAAAUUGGACGAUACGACAUUUUCUGGAACAAUUCCACAAUAUAAUGAAGCAUGAAUGCAUGGUGUUUUGGAAACUGGUUGCAGAAUAGGGUAGUACAAAAUAAACUACUAGAGGAUACAUAUGGAAAAAUUCUAAUUAGUACAAUGUAGUGCUAUAAUACAGUUGCAUAAAUGCAACUCAAAAAUAAGAACAAAAUUUAUAUCUGAGAAACAACAUCUUUCAUCAUCUCAUGCCCUGCUACGUUCCAAUGUUGCUCACCAUCUAUCCUUUACAACGGCAAAUAUACAAUUUCUCUUGUCAUAUAUCAAUUGAAAAAUAAAAAUAAAAAUAAAAAUAAAAAUAAAAAUAAAACAAAUAAAGCAAAGAUGCAAACGAAUACAAAUUAGAAGGUCGGUCGUAUGAGAUAAAUGUGUCCCGCCUGCACGAGCUCCCCCCUAAAAAUUCGCCAAAGUCAUUCACCAGAGUAAAAUUUAGCAAACACGGCUCAACGUCGAGUCAGUCUUUCAGUGUUCAUUUUUCAAAAUUGAAAUUCAACUUCCGUUCGAGACGGAUAAAGUAUAAAUGCAAGGGGGGGAAAAAACAAGGAGAGACUUGUGUUCUGCAGCGCUUCACUUCUUCAUUGUUAAAGACCCACAUACUUUCAGUCUCUGCAUAGAAAAGAGAGAUUGUAACACGGAAGAUCUUUGAUGAUUCGAAAUAAGAGUCUGAUAAACAUUUCAAACAUCGGAAGGAAAGGAUAAAUAUACCCACACCUCUUGAACUUCCAUGCUUUUAUAGGCAGACCUCUAAUUCAAAAUUUUCGAAACCUGCGACCUCAAAUUCAUGUACUAGUAUAAUCUACACUUUCACCCAAAACAAAAUUAGUUUCCAAACGGUUUCUCGCAGUGCGUCUAACAUGUGUAUCUCAGUGACCAAGGAUUAAACCCCAUUUUGAGCAAAGCGCUAACAAAGUCCUAAUUUGUUCUGUUACUGCAUGAUGAAAGGUGUUUCAUUAUUCAUAUUUAAACACAUGAAAGACAAGCAGCAAGAAAGCUCUUAGAAACUAACAUUGUUCAAUUGCACCAUUUCAUGAAAUUUAAGAGGCUGAUAUAAAAAAUUAAUGAGUUUAGGGAAUAUGCCAGUAAAAACUUAGUUAAAUGGGAUUAUCCAUAGACAUUAAAAGGAAAAUUUAGAUUAAAGUGAUUUUUGAACUACGGAGAUUACCAAAUUGCUUCACAACUUUAAGUUGAUCCUCUCAGACCAUUUAAAUAUAUCCGAAUAAACUUGAUCACCACCUAGGUCCUCUCCGGUGGCUCCUGCUGCCACUCGAAUGAUAUCCUCAAUCAAAGCAAAGUUGCCCAUUAUGUCGACAUGGGCGCCACUCUGUGUCCCCCGGCCCUCCAAGAGAUUAGCAGGGGGUGCAUGAUCAUACUCCCUAAUAUAUGUUUUGAUGCCAGAAGGAUUGAAGCGGGUUCUUCCCCGCCACGCUUUUGCACACAUGAAGCCUGAACUUAGAACAGGCACAGUCUCAUCCCCAUUGACCAAGUAAACACCGCCUUGUAAACAGCUGCCGUCGUGUCCACCCUCCGCUGAGGUAUCAAUCUGAAAGGGAAUGGAGCACUCGGUAGAUGGGGAUAACUUAUAGACAUAUGAUCUCUCAGUAAGGAUGCCAACUCCAUACAUUGAGAAUAUCUCCAUAUCAGGGGCAUUUGGUAACCUUGUGAGGAAAAUGGGGAAAAAAAAAAAAGUGAGAAAAGAAACUUCAAAUUUGUAAGCGUUUUCUCAGCAUGCAUUCUAUGUUCACAAGCAGAGAGAACUCGUAGAAUAUGACAAAACAAUCUGCUCAUUAAGUCUAAAAAAUUCAGAUAUAAAGGACAGAUAUUGCACUCUAUUGUAAGACCUAUUGAAAGACCACAGAGCAUGCCAGUUUGCAACUAUUUAGUCAGAUGUAACCUUACAUUCCAUAUGCUAUAAUACCUAGACAAGUUAGCAUGUUGAUCUACACUAAAUGCCAUGUAACUUAAAAUGGAGUCCGGCUACUAUACUCUUAUGAGUACAAUCGCCCUCGUACUCAUAAGUUGUUUUCGAUGAUAGAGAUUCCGAAUCGACGAUCCACACCGUUAAACGUUAUUUAGAGCAUUUAAAACAUCUAGAAAUCAAAUUUUAUAAAUUUUCGACAUCAUUUACCUUAUGAUCAAAAGGUCACAAAAUUGAUAAUUUUUAACGGCCGAUAUGAGAUAUUUGCUAGUUUAACGGUGUAAAAGAAUCGAAAUCGGUUGAAUUUUUUAUAGAAAAUUCUAUUCACUACAUAGAUUAAGAUCAAUAACUCCGAUCUUAAAUUGAAGGAUCCGAUCAUUCAUUUUUAAGAUAUCGUUCGAUUUUGACCGUUCAUUUUAUACCUGCUUGAUGAACUUUAUUAUGAUUUCGAAAAAUUAACAAAUUUAUUUUCUAGAAGUUUCAAAUACUCUAGAUCAUAUUUAACGGAGUGGAUCGUCGAUUUGGAAGCUCCAGUAUUGAAAACAACUUAUGAGUAUGAAGGGCUCUAUACUCAUAAGAGUAUAGUAGCUCUAGCCCUCAAAAUGAAUGCGUUGGCAAAAUAGCUGCUGAAAAGGAUAACAUAGAGAUUUUCCGCUCAACAAGCCGAUAGGGAUUUUGCAGUUGACAAGCUGACUUAUCUUACAGACUGACCUUUUUCUCAAUGAACACCUAGGAACCAGGGCAAAUGCAUGAGCACUAGUUAGGCAUCCAUUAGAAGGUUUCCAACAAGGACAGUCUUCGGAUGUUGAAAAUCAAGACCGCCAUAGCCUGCAGUCUUGAGGUUUAUUACAACCAAUUUGAACCCCCAGAUCCUAAAACAAUUCAAAAAUAACCUAAAAAGCCAAGCAAUUUUCCCUUUUCUCCACUAUUUCCUUUUCCUAAAAUUUGAUAGCCUAGGAAAAUCAUAAAUCAUACCAUUUUUUAAUUAAUAAUGUAGUAAGUUCUAUAUUAGAUAACAAUAGUAUCAGAAUCCAUGCAAAGUAUCAGAAUCAAGUUUUAUUCAAGAGGCAAAAGAAACUCCACAAAAGAAAUUAUGUUGCGAAAAUUCAAACUAGAUUAGUCGGGAGUAUAAGUAUAAACUCUCACUUUGUUUCUAGGGGAUUUGACCAAUAUUUGUAGUGGUUAUACUUUGGGUCAUCCAGAUUAUCAGCAAUACCAUAUGAGAAGUGAGCACUUCCACGCUGCAUCAUCUUCGGGGCAACAAAAUGAAGAAGAUCCAGAAUGGAAUCAGUUGUAUACACUUUGUAAUCAGCUACCGCUUUAAUUCCGCCCCAUCCCAAUUCAUGGUGCUCUGUCCAGACAUCUCGGCAUGAUGCAUUUGAAUGAGCAAGAUUGUUACCUUUGACAGCAUCCUGAAUGAGAGGGGGGGGAAAAAAGAUUAGACAGAAUAGUAUGGUAUUUGAAAAAUUAAUAUAGCACAUUUAAAGAUAUCAAGUAUCUAUUUGAAAAAUUAAUAUAGCACAUUUAAAGAUAUCAAGUAUCAAAUCAAUGCCAAUUUCUAAAAAGAUAUCUAUUCUAUUCAACAAAUGUCUGCGAGUAUACUUUCAGAACAACCAUCAUGUCCAAAUAAAGGUAUCCCAAGCCUCUCGGAUCAGUUCUUUUAUAUGGUAUGGACAAACAGUAGUUCUUAAGGCAUGAAAGACAAUUAUAACAUGUGAAUAUUCAUAUUAUAAACAAACGAACAAUCUUGCCAGGAUCUCACCAAGUGUACCAAAAAUCAACUUAAAAGACAAGCAUCCCGCAGAAAGAGUUAGAAAUUUAUCACCAGUCCAAUAUAAAUCAGAUAUGGUAGCUAACAUCAAUAAAACUAAAAAUUCAAAGUGGUUAUCAAUAGAGUUGAUUAUGUGGAUUAAGCUAGCAGCAUUCCUAGAAAAAAUCAAUAUGUCAACUCAGACUGACUUAUCAGCAUCAAACUCGGAAGAUUGACACUUCUUUUCAUAGACUUCAGAGCUAUUUCAAUGUGAUACAUCAAGUGACUUCAAAACAUGGUGUAAUAAAACCUAACAAAGCUUUUAACCUUAUGUCCAGAAGUAUCAAAAUCUGUUAUGUUUUUUAAAUUAGGCUUAAAAAUAUUAUCAUAAUAAAUUAUCUAGAUUCUCGAUAAGAAUGUCCAGCUAUAUAAUCAUGUAACUCCUAACUAGCAACAUCUAUUUUUUGCUCAUUUGAUACAAAGCUGAGAGACCUUGAGAGGAUACACAUCCAAACCCACUAUAUCCUACAAUAUCAUAUUAUACAGCAUGGCAUAUAAUGACAAAAUUUAGUCUGAGCAGCUAGAAAAGAGAACGAGGGUAGAAAAACUAAUGUACAAUAAGUCUUCAUAUUGCAAUUUUCUUUGAAAUAAAUAAAGUUAAUACUUACCCGAAAAUCAAUGCGCUCUAUCGUAGAGGCAGGUGCCUCUGCUACAUCCUUCCCGAAAGAAAUAAUUCUUCCAUAGUUAACUUUUUGCGAGUGAAAAUCUGCCUUAUCAGUGUCAACAUCCUUAGAAACACGAGAGUCAUUAUUCUUUUGCUUCUUGGAGCUACAGACAUAGCCCUCUUCUGGAGACCAAUCUAGUCCACCCCAUAUAGUAUCACCGCCUUUAGGAAUCAUUGACAUAGUAGAGUCCCAUGUACGAGUCAUACGCAUGACAUGUCGCAAUGUCUGAAGACCAAGAAAGUCUGAAUCUAACACCCCAGGUGCAAUAGCCCUAUACAUGGAGAGAAAAUGAUGAUACUUUCUUCUUUUCCACCAAACUAACAUACCAAACUUUUACUGGAAAGAGCAACAAACAAUUAGAAGAAAGACUCGUCACUAGACAAAUGACGUUACCCAAGUAGAUGAGAAGAAACAAAUAUGUUUUAACACCACUUAACUAAUUUAACGCCACUUAAACAAGCUUUACAACACACAUCUUACAGGGGGGAAACACGUAUAAUCUCUUGAAAAGAGGUGAGUACUCGUACUUUUUAAAUAAGAGAGAAUAAACAAAAUGUUGUACAUGCUAAGGUCCAAACUUGCUGUUCAUGUCAACCAUGGACAUUGGUACUUGACGUUGAGAAGAUUCAGUCAGAAGUAAGAAAAAUCCAACCAGACUAAUUGCUGACUGAGCAAAAGCAAGUACAAGGACUUGCCAUAUGAGCACAAAAUGUCAAAUGGCUGGAAGCGACAUGCAAACUAGGAGAACCUCUAUGAGGAUUCUCAUACAAGCCAAAGAACAGAGAUAUUGUUCUCAUUUAGGAGGCAACCUUCAUCGCUGUGACGACAAGCCAACAAGCUAAAAUAUAAUCUAGUGCAAAGAAUACAUCUUUCAAGUCCAAUAAAAUGAUGAAUUUAAGGCACCUUCAGAUACAAGUAACUAAUAGUAUGUUAACGAUAGAAACAUUUCAUUAGGAAAGGUUAAGCUGAAAGGAAAAAUUUGACGCUGUGUCCACAUUAACUUUCCUCAUGUUACUAGUUAUCCACCGGAAGUAGGAAAAAAGAAAAAUAGAACUGCUGAAGAUGCAGAAGUGACGCGACGUAGUAAUAUAUUGUCAAGGCAACGAUUAUAACUAGUAAUCUUGUUGUUCCAAAUAUUCAUAUAAGAUUUUGUUUUUAGCUGGAAAUAAAUAACUACAUAAGGCUAAUAUAGAAUGUCAUUUAGUAUAGCCAUCCCUAAGUGUACCAUUCACCACGUACCAGUACAUAUUAGUGCAGAAAUUGUAUAUUUUAAAGCUACAAUUUACAUAACAUUUACUAUAUGAUAUAUUUGAUCCUUCAAGACAGAAAAGAUAAACGUGAGCAGAAAGGAAAAAAAGAAAACUUGUGUUACCCUCUAGGAGAGCGUACCUAUAAUUAAAUGGACGAUACAUCAAGAACAUUCGAGAAAAAGGAUACUUUCUAUAUUCACUAAAACAAUCCACCUUCAGAAGAUUAUCAAUAAUAAAUCAGCAGCCAGAACAAUCUUCCUAUCUUCAGUAGUCGCAUUAGCAAAUAGACAAAUAGGCCAAAACCUUUUUUUUCUCCCUUUCUAUGCAAGGACCAAAGUAUUUACAUUUCCAUUUAGAGAAAUCGCCAAACAACUUAUUAAACAGAAUAGAAACGAACUUGAAUUCUUGCAGUUUUUCAUUGAAUCGCCUCUUUAUUGGGUAGUCUACAUUUGCUUCAUUCUGUUUUUUAUGCGGUACUAGGGGUGUAAAACGGGUCGGGUGGCCCAUGGGCCGGCCCGGCAGAUCUAGCUGGCCCGCAGGCAUACCGGGCACGGCCUGCAACCACAGGGUAGGAUUCAACCCGGUGCGGCCCAAACCAUUUAGGACCGGGCCUAAGGGCUGGCCCAGCCUGUUUAUUCUUUUUUUUACUUAUUUUUUCUAUUGUUUUUAGUUUUUUAAAUUUAUUCUUUCAAAUAUCAAUUUAAAAUAAUCAAGUAUUAAUUUAAAAUAAUCAAAUUUUAAAUAUUUAUUUAAUAAAAAAUAUAUAUUUUUUAUAAAAUUAAUAGUAAUUUUUUUAAAAUAAAAUUUAAAUAUAAAAAUUGUAAAAAGGGUCAGCCAGAGGGCCGGCACAGCCCGUGCAGUUCGAGCUGUUGACCGUGCUAGGCCACGGUCCAAUGCCCGACCCGGAUUUGAAUCCAAGCUGGGUGGGGCCACCUUGUGGCCCGGAUUGGCCCGAAAAAUUCUAGGCCUUGCCAGCCAGCACGGCCCAGAUUACACCCAUAUGCGAUACCCAAUGCUAUGUUAUGGUCACACUCAAUGCUACCUAUAAUUAACUUAUUUGAUACCAUCUAACUUAAUUCUGUAACCAAAUUCCUACUAUAUCUAGAUAACAGCAGUCAAAGCAGAAUAUUAGCCUUGAUGAAUAAUGCAUUAAACUGAAGAUAGAUUUCAAGAGAAUUGGUAUUCCUUAAUUAUAAGUGUCAAACAGAAGUAGAUAUUUAGCUAUAUGCUCAAUUAGUGAAAUUCCAAUGUUAAUCAAGAUAGCAAUGCUAGUAUAGAGAUAAUAAAGUGUUUUGAAGUAUCACACAUCAUAGACUAACAUUUAAGUUACAAAGCUAUGAUUUGUACCUUAGGUUACCGUUUGGUUCGAGAACAAGUUAUUUUUGUUUAUUCUUGGGAUAGGUAUAACUUCUGGGAUAGGUAGAAAUUAAUUCAAUUUUGUGUUUGGACGAGAAUCGAGAUAUUUAGAGGAAUAAGAAAAAUUAUGUUUGGUUGAUUGGGUUGGAAUAGUAGGGAUAAGAGUAAUUAUGAUUGAAAAUAAAAUUAAUUUAUCUAAAUAAUAAGCAUCUAGGUAUUAGUAAGAUAAUAUUUUAAUAAGUUAAUAAAUAAAUUAAUCAAAAUUACUUUAUAAAUUAAUUAAAAUUACUAUAUAAGAUGACAAAGAUGACAUUAAUUAGCAAAUAACUAUAAAAAAUAAGCCAAUAUGUUAAUAUUAAUUAAUUAUUUAAUCAUUUAUAUUUUUAGUUAAUAUAUUAAUUAUAUAAAUUAAAAUACUAAUUAUUUAAAUAAUAUAAAUAUUAGUAAAUAAUUGAAUAUAUGGCUAACUAUUUAAUUAGAUAAAUAAUAAUAAAUUAUAAAUAAAUUAUUAUUUAAAUAUUUAUUAAUCUAAUAAGUUAAAUAAUUAAUUAGUUAAUUACAAAAAAAAUUAAUUUCAUUAAUUAAUUAUAAUUUAUAAUUAUUUAUAACUUAAUUAGUAAAGGAAUAAGGUAGAGAAUAGCUUGUUCCACCCAAUAGGUGGAACUAUCUUCCCUCUUAACGGGUUAUUCCGGAAUAACCCAUUAAGAGGAGAAUAGUAGUUCUUGGCAAUUUUUAACACCGUUUGGAAGAAUAAGAGGAAUAAAUUCCUUAUUCUUCCUUUAUUCUUUGAACCAAACAUAGCUGUCAUUUGGUUGCAAGGAAAACAUUUUUGGAAAGUUUUUUCCUAAUUUCAAGGAAAAUUAGUGUUUUCGUUUUCCGAAUUAUUUUUUAGGAAAACGAAAAUACUAGUUUUCCAUAAAACUUCGAAAAAAACUUUCCAAAUAAGCUAGUUUCCCUUGGAACCAAACAGGCAAAAAACUGGAAAAAAGAUUUUUCAUAGAAAACUUUUUUCUUGAAAACCUUUUUCCAUACUUUUCGGAGGAACCAAACAGCCCCUAAUAGUUUCACGGAAACAUAAGGAUAUCAACUAGAGCAAAAGGAUAAGUACUUAGGAUCGCAUAUACCCAAGCAUUUUUACAAUUAUUACCUAGCAACAGCAACAUCUUUGGCUUCAGCCGAGAAAAGACCAGCAACAGCCUUUGGAACACCUAAGAAGGGGCCACCAAUAUUCAUUACAGCUUUGAUAUGUUUUGAACACCAGUUUGGACCGCCGCCGCCACCCGUAGGAGCAGGUGCUUCAACCCAUUUCAUAAAAUGCAAAAAGUACAAAACUCCCAUGGAAUGCGGGAUAACCACCACUUUAUUGCCACCAUUUGUUGAUACCAUGAGUUCUAUGUUACUCUUUAUUCUGCUUAGGGUCUGAUCACGGACCUGUUUGCAUUUGCUCGUGCAAGCACAUGACGUAUGUCAAAAACCUUGGGAAGGAAUUAAUAAACUGCUACAAAAGGAGAAUGCAUACAAAUGGAGAAUGCAAAACUGAGCAAGAAAAUACACUUAAAGGAGAAAAUUAGGUGGUGUUUGGGUGCAAGUAUUUGCAAUAACACUGCAAUUAUAAGUACAUGCAAAUCCACAACCACCAUUUGGUUUCAUGCAUUUGAAUCCAACUGCUGCAAUUGGAACUGCACAAAGAGGUUCAAAUGCAGCAUUUGAAACAAUGCCAAAAUUGGCCACAUUUCCAACUGCAACAGUUAGAGAGAGUGACAUUAAACAAAGUAAGCUUAUCUCCCUAAUAAUCUUCCAAACAUAAAAUGAUUUUUUUAUAUAUAGAAGGUAAUCUCACCAUACCAUAUAUAAAGUGAUAAAAUUUUGUAAAUGCAUUUGUCAACCAUACAUAACCAAACAAAAUAUUUAUAGUUGCUGCACUUUCUAUUGCAUCCAACCAAACAAGAUGUAUAAUUAUAAUAGUUGCAUUGUCAAGAGCAUGCAUUUUGAACUACACCGCACUGACAAUUACUUCCAACCAAACAACCCCUUAGAUGUGACUGAACGAAAUGAAAGGGUACCAAUCAGGUAUUUAGAAAGUUCAAGCUACCUCAGUGUUUUGAAAAGAUAAUCUCCAGUCAUAUGCAGCCAUAUACAUUGUCUUCUCUUCAUAUCCAAUGCGAGCCAAAUUAGCAAUCAGCACUGCCCAGACAAAGUAUCCUGGAGCAAAAUAAUCUGCCGCAACAAGCCCUGUAACAGGCCUAACUCUUAUACCUGGAGGAUCCAGCCCAGUUUCAUUGUCCAAAGACAUAUGUUCAACCCAGCAUAGAGGUCUGAGGAAGAUUCAUGAACAACAAACGUUAUAAUUGAUACCGAUAAGAUGUCUAGCAAGUUGAAUUAUGCAAAAGGUCGUCAGAGCAACAACUAAUGUUCCUUUUAGAUAUAGAACAGAUUCAGACAAAAGACUACCUAGACAAGACAUCUAAUAGUACAUGCAAUAGACCCGGGUACUUAAAAAUUGAAGAAAAUAGCAAUUUAGCUGGCAAAGAUUCAUCAGCAGGAAUGUAAUAAUUUACUCAACAAUGCCAUGAAAAGUCAAUUAAAUGAAUAAAUUGCUAUAUGUGAUGAUUGCUAUAUCAUUGUUCGGAUCUCCCUUCAACACCAUUAGCUUGUCACUAAAAUCUAGAUCAACACCCUCAAUCCUAGCCACUCAUUCCAAACAAAGGUCUAGAAAAAGAAAAGAGAAGACACUUCAUACCAUUUUCCUUGACUCUUGAAUAACGGAAGCAAGGCUUCGACAGCCCAUGUCGGUCUGCACAGGGUGAAACACACUGUGUCGAUAGGCCACUCUUAAAUAAAUCCAGAUAUAUCUGAUUAAUCCACCUUACUUUUUUUUUUGCUUCUUAUGUGAAAUGAGACAAAGUGCUUCUUAAAGCCUAAUUCUCAACUCUCCGUUGAAGAACAGCCUAAAAUAUACAGCACGCGACAGCAUGGAUGCAUGCUUCACCACGUGCCACAGCACGUACAUGCUGACAUAUGACCUACAUGCCUACAUAGCACUGCAUGGCAGACCUUGUGGAGAAAGAUAACAACUAAAUAAAUUUGUCUUCUUCUCUAACAACUGAACUUGAAUGGAAAUGAAACUCAACCUCAUAUAAGACAAAAUGAAAAAGAUAAAGGUUAUAUUGUAAUUUUUUUUUUUUUUACUGCCCCAAGUCAGAAGAACUAUUUUCUGGUUCAUGCAGUUACUGAAGAGAUAUACGUAAACGCUAGAUCCAGUCCCUAUUAACUUUAGUGAAGCAUCCAUUUACGUAUAACACAUGUCACUUUGUGCACUUUUGAUGAAGAAAAGUUUUGUUCAAGGGGGCACAAUAGAAAUUUUGAGAACAUUAAGCUUGCUCAUUACUAUUACUAGCAUUAGGAGAAUAAGUAAUCAAGCUAUAACAUUAAGAUACCAACAUUAAAAACAAAUAGACAAGAACAAAGCCCUAUCAAGUUUUGAACGACACGCAAUUCACAGAGUCACAUCCCAAAAGUAGCUAACUUUUUCACAAUUGGCUAAACUACCUGUUUUCUAAUUCUACUAUAACAAUCAAGUUACCACAAAAUCCCAAGCUAACAUAGCAAACUAUAAACACCACUUAUGAGGAAAUCUCCAGCAAAGUAAUUUCCAGAUUCGUGUAUACUUCCUCCUUCGUAGUUCUACAAAUUUCAGUCCCCACUCCCCGGAAAUCCCAAUCAUCACUAAUACAAACUCAAUCACAAAGGAAAUAGGGUUGAACAGAGAGGACAGAUAUAUACCUCUUGUAUACCUCUCCGAAGGUUCCGCCCCAAAGGCGCUUUCGGAAUAGGCCAUCGGCGCACUGGUGGCCCUCCCAGAGCUCGAGCCCCCCGGUGACGAUGCCGGGGACGAACACCACCGGGUGCUUCGCCUUGAGCCCCUCCUUUUGGAGCUUCACCCCGGGGGGGUCCGGUAACGGCCCGGUGAUCGCCUCGGUCACGUACUGCGGGAACGACGCGGGCAUGGCGUUGUAGAGGAAGAGGAGAAGCCACCACACGGAGCAGAUGCACCCGAUCAACCAACAGCAGCUAUCCACGCACGACCACCUCUGCCCCUUCGUCGCCUUCGCCCUCGCCCUCUCCUUCUCCUUCGAGGGCUCGGCGACCUCCGCCCUCGCCGGAGACUGCGGCGCCGCCGGCGGAGGCGGGGGUGCCUGCUUCUCGGCGGAGUCGGAGGGCUUCCUCCGCCGCAGCAUCGACAUCGCCGCCGCUCGGAAGGUGGGGGGCCGCGGCGGAACCCUAGCGCUCACCGAGUGUUUCGAAACCCUAACCCUAACCCUAGGGAGAAGGAGGAGGAGGGAGACGGGAAGAGGCCGCGCUGGUUUCGCGGAACUCCGGUUCCGUCGGGAGCUUGAGAGAGAGAGAGAGAGAGAGAGGGGGGGAGGGGAGGAAAAAAAAUAUAUCAGAGAAAGAGGGGGGGAAGUGAAAGUAUCGACGUGUCGUCGUCGUCGGACACGUGGCAGGAAUCUAGAGGCUUCUGAUCGGAAUCUGGUGGGGCCAGCUGUGAGCCGACGAUCAGGAUCAGCUGUAACGUGCCAACCAGCGCUCUCAUUCGAACGGCAGUGUUGACUACCGAACCAACGUGGGAAACCGUGGACCGGGUCUAUAGACCGGGUUCUCCAAAAACACAAAACUAAUGCGCAAAUAGUAAUGUUGGUCCCCAAACUACAAGCCGAGUGAUGCUUUCCUCCUUCAAUUUUAAUUUAUUAUAAUUUUUAGGUAAAAUUUUCUAGAUUGUUAUUAUGCAAUGCAAUUUAGUUACCUAAACAAUAAUACGUUAUUGAUGUGAUAAUGAUAUAGGAAUAUUAUAGUUUAUGAUAUGAAAAUAAUAAAAAUGUCACACUGCUGCUAUAUCAGUAAUGUAUCAUUAUUAUAACAAUAAAAUUGUAUGGUAUGAUUCAAUUACAACAAUAUAUAAGUUCGAAUCACAAACUAUAGCAAAUUAAAGUUCUAGAAUUAAAAUGUCAUGUGUUUUAUAGUUUAAGGACAAAAGGUGCAAUUUACCCAAAUAAUAACACCAAAUUAAGUAGCAACAAAUGGGAGAUGAUUUUAGCGGAUCUAAAAUUAUUAGUAAUGAGCACAUUUCCUUGGAUUUAAUCAAACUAAAUUGAUUGAUUUGACAAAACUGAUUUGCUUCUAACAAACUCAAAUAGGUAUACCCCACUUCAGGGCAUAUCAGUAGCAUUACUCUAUGGUUAUUUGGAUAAUAACACUUUUGGUCCUCAAAUUAUGAGACGCAUGAUAUUUGAUCCUCAAAUUUUAAUUUCUUAUAAUUUUUUACUCGAAUUUUUUGAAUUAUUUAGAUUAAGUUCCACAAUCCAAUUUAGAUUGGCCAAAUAUUAAUAAAUGGCUAAAUUACAGAAAACCCUCUGCUAAAAUCUGAUUUUUCACUUUUCCCUUCCUGUCAUUUAAAAAUCUAUACUUUGUUCUCUUAUAAAAUGAAAAAUGUUUACUUUACUCCCUACCAUUAGUGAUCCGUUAGAGUUCCGUUAUAAAAUAUUUUUUUAUAUCGAAAAUACUCUCCGCCCUCUCUACUGUUGCUUCGCCCUCCAACGCCUUGCCGCCUUGCCCUCACCUACAUCUCCGUCCGCGCCUAUAAUGUAGUGUUCUAGAGUUUUGGAUAGGAUUGGCUUCAGUGUUAGUGACUGGUCGACACAUCUGAAGAGUGUCGGACUGAGUCGGAGUCGUUUCUACGUGAAAUGGGUGCAAAAAUGGACUCAGCGCACUCAAAUAGGCAAAACUGAAGUUUUGCCAGUUUAGGGCGCCCAGAACUUGGUUUAGGGCGCCCAGAUCUUGAGUGCUGAUUUGAGCAAAAUUGGAAGCCAAUUCGGAUCCUAUUCUGGGCGCCCAGAAGUGGGUCCAGAAGUUUACUUUGGAAAUAUCGCUGGCGUUGACACGUGUUUGUGGUAGGUGAGGUCCGCCGGAUCAAGAUAAGGGUGCAGCACACCGUGGGCGGAGGAACUGAAGAGGGCUGUUUGUGCAGGCUGGAAGUUCUGGGCGCCCAGAACUUGAUUUAGGGCGCCCAGAACUUGCUUUUUCUGCAGCAGUGUAGGUUUGUAUCUAAUGUUCCUAAGGCUUAUAUGACCAUUUAAUAACCCUAUAAAUAGGUGGGAGACGCCCCUGGUAAGCUCUUUUCCUCUCUUUCUCACAGGGAAACUUACAAUUGCAUUCCAACCCCUCCAAAUCACUCAAAUUGCAUCAAAAGUCCACAACUUCAACUUGAGGAGUGCUGAUUCUGCAGUUUUCCAGCGACGACCUUCAGUGCUUUAGCUCGUGUGCGACGUAGGAAAGCCGGAUUGCGGUGAAACUUGGUUUGUUGGAUUCUAGACUUCAAGAGGAAUCCACGAAAUCCAAUAUUGCAGAUUUUGGUGAAGGUUAGCUUGGUCGAACUCAAAUUCUUCUCUACUGCUGUUGUUUUGGGCAGAUUUCUUUGAUGCUAUCUUUGGAGGCAGGGGGAUUUUGGAUCUGAGAUUAAUACUCCAUCAUUAUUCAUUGGAUUUGAAACUUGCCUCACUUGAAUUAGAGAUUAUUAGGUGAGUUUUGACAUUGGAGUUGAGACAAAUUAAGCUUAAGUGCUGAAAUUUGGUGAAUUGAUGGAUUUUGAUGGAUUUUGGGUGUAGAUCCUUCGAGUAGCUUUGUUGCUAGUUGUGGGUGAUCUCGGCUGAGGCUUCCAGCAAUUCGUGACCUUCUUGCUGCCAGAAAAUUGCACUAAAGGUGGGUGUUUCAUCGGUUUCGCUCCAUAAGUGCUUGUAGUCGACAUGUAUGAUUUCGGUUCUUGUAUAUCAUGUUGUAGCUCAAAUUCAUUGAUUGUAACAUGUAUGAAAUCUGAAUUGGGAGCAUGACUAUUAAUUAGAUGAAUAUACAUGUUGGAUUUGGAACUUGACUUAGGAGAAAACCAGCGAUUCGACCUGUCAUAUGAUUCUACUACCUGAUUUAGCUCUAGGAGCCGUGGUUUGAUUGUAUCACUGCUGUUUCAGCGCGGUGGAUAUCCGGGGUAGUUUAGAAUGUAUUUACGCUCGUGCUGGGAUGCCGAGCUUAUUUUUACAGCAGAGUCUAGGCUGUUUCAGAUUGUCGGGUGCCGUCGGGGUGGACGGUGGACCCAGAUUUCUGUUUUUGGUCUCAGAUUGUGCCGAGGGCACGUGGUUUGGUUUUUAGACCUGUUUUGACCCUAGCUACUUGACUUUGGCUUGUUAGAGCCUGAUUGAGCUCGACAGAGAUACGCUGCAUACUCGGUUGGUAGCUCCCACGAGUGCCACUCCGGAGAUGGGCGCUGUACUUUUGCGUUGGUAUCGUUCGUGCAGGUUGGACUUGCUCUCCACAGACUGGUUAGUGUGGAGGUAGCUGUAUAGUCGCAACCGGGCGGGACGGGUGUGUUCACAGUCCCAUGGACGGGUAGGAUUACAGUCCUUAUUUGAGAUUGGGUCUGAGUUGACACUGUUCUACAGAUGGUUAGAUUUAGAACAUGAUAGUAUAGUGGCAUAUAGCUGUAGAUUUGUUCCAACUUUCUUUACUAUUCCUGCUAUCCCUGUAGACUUAGUAGGUGGACUGAUGAGUUUGAGGGCGGUACCCACUAAGGACUACUUGUUUUUACAGUAGUUCUCACGCCCAGUUGUUACCACUGUUUUUGUAGAGCCGUCGCCUUCGGCUGCUGCUGUUGCUGAUCUUGAUCGUGGCAAGGGCAUCGCGAGUUAGAGCCCUUCCAGUCGAGUCACAGAGCUAGAGGAGCACCAGCUACAGAUAGUUGUAGUUUUUAGGUCUUUACAUAUAGUUGUUGUUUCUUGCUAGAGCGAGUAUUUGUAUACCUUGGAUGACAUGUAUGUAUUGAACCACAGUUUUUUUAUAUGGUUUAUUUUUCUAGCUGCUCUAUACUACUGUUUGUAGUAUUGUACAAUUACAGGUACUUCUACUUUUUCGCUUCGUAUACAAAAAAAAUAUCUAUGCAUACGGCAGGUCUGUUAGCGAGCCCGGGGGAACGGGUAAUCCGGGGCGUGACACAUAAACACCCUCUUUACCCUCCUCCGCCGCCUCGCCUUCACCCUCGUUACCUUUGCCCACCUCUCCAUCCACAUCCACAUCGAUUUCCUCCCUACUGUCGCCAAAAUAGAGAGGCGACGAGGGUACAGAAGAAGAAAAUGAGCAAAUGGAGAAGAAAAUAGAGAGGAACUUCGGCCGAUCGAGGCGGCGGAAAAGCAAGAUGAGAGAGAAGACGAAAAAGGUGAGGGGCAAAAUGAUCAUUUUGUCAUCACAGUUCACACCGUACCCCCUGUAAACAUUUUUCAUUUUAUAAGGAGCCAAGGUGUAGAUUUUUAAAUGACAAGAGGGGAAGUGAAAAAUCGAAUUUUGACAUAAGAGUUUUACGUAAUUUAGCCUUAAUAAAUUGUUGAUGUAAAAAUGAUAUAGCAUCUUAAUUAUUAUUGCAUUAUCAAUCACAACACUUCAUAUCACUUGUAUAUUAAUAAUUUGUCAAUAUUUAGCCAAUUAAAUAAGAUUAUAAAACUUAAUUGUAAUUGUUGUCGCAUUUUUAUUUUUAUUAUUAAAUGUGAAUUUUAAUUUUUAUAACCCUCGCAUGAAGAUGACAUAAUCUAUACUCUAACAUUUAUGGUUACAAAAUGCAUUCACUUAACUUGCAUUCAUUCGUACAACCAUGAGAUCUAACGUGUAUAUUUAGUGCUCCUGCCGUUCUCUUCCACUCCUAUAACUCUUCACCAUUUAACUCUUGUAACUUUCACAUUUAUUUAGAAAGUUAAUAUCAUAUAACUUCUAAUUCUAUGAGCCUACAUAUAUAGUGUGCAUUUCGUUCUUUGAAACGAUGAAAAAAACAAUAAGUUAUUUCUAUUCUUGUGAGAGAGAGAAGGCCAAAGAAACGUGUUUUUUUUUGUGGAAUUUUGGGCUCAUCUACUUGUGUAAAGUUGAUAUAUGAAACCACACAACGAGUGUCGAAUCAUUGUAUCCCGAAGGGAACAAGUCAGUGCUCUACUGCAUCGGUUCAAAGGCUUUGCCAAACGCAGAGAGUUUAAAUCUCCUUAAAGAGAGCGAGAUUUUCGUGUCUCAGUUUGAUCAACUCGUUUAUACUUUUUAUAUUAUUUUGUAGUUAAUUUUUAUUUUUUGAAUAUAUACACCAACAGUAAUAGUUUAAAACUAGUGUAGAGAUCCGCGCGAUGCGGCGGGUAGAUAAUAGAAAUAAAAUUUUAAAUUUUUUUUGAGAUAAAAAAUUGUAGUGAAAAUUAAAAUUUUAAAAUGUACAUGUGUCCAUGGUGGCGAGGGGCGGCGAGGCGACAUUUGACGCGGUCGAGAAGGAAGCGGGCGACGCCAACGUCGAGGUCGGAGGAGGAGGGCGGCGGCGGCGGAGGCGAAGAGGUAAAGGAAGAAGGCGAUGUUGCAUGCGGCGGUGGCAGACGCAAGAUGGGAGGUUUGAGAAAGAGAGCGGCGGGAAGUUGAGGGGACGCGGGAUGGGAGGAGAGAGAGAGAGGAUGAAAGCAAAAUUAUAGGAUCAAAAUAUUUAGGAGUUACUAUAUAUGUAACUUGAAAUAAUUUUAAAAAUGAAUGAGAUUUAAAAAAUAUAAAUAAUAGAAUUAAUGUUACAGUUACUCAAUAAGAUAUAGUUUUAGAAAGAAAGUUGGUGGGUCAUUAAAUAGUAACAAAUAAUAAAUUAAUUUGUAAAAUAUAAUGAGAAAAAAUAUGAAAAGGCUAUUCUUAGUCAGAAAUGACAACAACUAUAUAUGGAGCCUAUUUUGAAAAUGAGAGAUGGACCAUAUUUGGUAUAAUUUGACAAUUAAUUAUCAUAGUUUAUAAUAAUUGAUCAAGCAAUUAUGAGGAACCGUUUUCUAAUUUAGAAGGUUAAUUGCUAAUAGAAACAACUAGUAUGAAUUUGACAAUUAAUUAUCAUAGUUUAUAAUAAUUAAUCAAGUAAUUAUGAGGAACCGUUUUCUAAUUUAAAAAAUUAAUUGCUAAUAGAAACAGCUAGUAUGAAAUGUAGAUGGUUAUGUAGAAUUUGAAAUGCAAAUUAAAAAAAUUUUCUAAAAAAGGAAGUCAUGCCACCUCAGCUUUUGUUAUUAGGGAUCAAUAAAAAGUAAUAGAUAUUCGAAUUAGAAAUUACAAUAAAAGAAAAUUCAAAGAUCAAAAUGUCACACUCACGAUAAUUUGAGGACCAAAAAUGUAAUUUAUACUUUCUAUGUUUUUUUUAACUUUAGAUUAUCAUAUUGCCUUCUAUGUAACUCACGGUCUGAUGUGGUAUUAAUUGACAAGUUACUAAUUUUACAUUUAUAGAGAUGAAAUUUUCAAACCUAAAAACCUUUAAUAUUGAUAUGUACAAUUAAAUCUAUUAUUUGUAUGAUUUGUUAGGAAAAAUUCAUAAUUUAUCAACAUGUUAUUUGGGUAUUAAUAAGUCUAAAAAAAAUAUGGCAAGUUAAGAACUUUAUAAUCAACCACACAAGAAAAAGAUCAGGAAAAAAUUGAUGUUUACUUUCGAGUAAAUCUCCUAAGUGUGAUAAAUUAUAUUUAGAAAUUUAAAUGCGAAAAUAUGCUAGCUAGCAAUAGAUUUUUUAAUUUUUGUCAUUAUUGGUUAACUUAUAGUAUGUUUUUUUGAUUAGGUAAAGAUAACAAUUUCUUAUAAAGCAAUCAAACCAAAAAAAAAAAAGAAAAGAAGCUAGAGAGAUUACAACUUUCUCACCUGUUUGAGCUGCAAACAAAGAAUUUUAAAACAAAUGCGAACAAGCAUUCCAUUUUCCACUCUCACACUCUUGUUUUAAUUUAAUUCAACUAAACAAAAAAUAAUACUAAUUGAUUGCUUAUGCUUAAGGGUUUGUUUAGUUUCCAAAAAAUAUUUCAUAAAAUAGUUUUCUAACUGAAAUAAUAUUUUUCAUCCGUUUGCUUCUUAGAAAUGUAGUUUUUUUUUUUUUUGAAAAAAUCAGAUUUUAUAAAAAAAAAAACGAUUACUUUAAUUUUUAAAUUUUUUUAUACAGAAAAUAAAAACUGCAAAAAAAAAUAAGUUUGAUAAAAUAAAUUUCAAAAAAUUACUCUUUAUAUUUUUUUUGAAGAACAUGUACCCUCGAUCCACAAAACACGUACGUUCCAGGACGUUCGUAGGCACUAAUGAAGUGCCACGUCAUCUAAGCGGGCAAUUAAAAGCGGGUCUAGGGCGACGCAGCGAAUGAGAGCGUUUCUUCGCGGCACGGGCCCACCGCGGUGUAUGAGUAGUAUACGACUUAGUUUGGAAUUACAUAAAGAUUACGUUACGGGCUGUAAAAAAAUACAUUAGAAAAAUAUUCUAUUUAUUUCUGUAUAUAAUAUUACAUUCAGCAUAUCACGAUCAGUCAGUUACGAUAUAUACAUUAGCAUCUUUAUUCUCGUAUCCGUUUCGAAAAGCGUGCUAUGAAAGUGGGCCUGAUGUUGACUGUAUUUACGUGAAUUGCCACGGAAUGGAGGGUCGAGGUGACGUGUCGCCAGGGACAGGAACGCUGGAACGGCGCGUAACGGUUCGGGCGCGGACAAGUACGCGGUAACGGCGCGUAAUGGGUCGGGCGCGCCGCCGCUGAACGACACCGGGGAACGGGAAAAAGUGAACGGAAAUGUACGGCCAACGGGUUACGGUUGUUAAAGUGCAUCCACAACGUUCGACAAACACGGCAGUUUUGCUAUAAAUGACUAAUUGCAUAUUAAAUACAACAAUUUUGAAUACAACUUUUUGUAUUAUUCAAAAAAAAAUAAAUGUAUUUAUAUUUCAUACUGAAAAUUAUAUGUCAAAUAAUGUAUACCUAAUUAAGAGCAAGAAUUUAAGUAUCGUGAAACGAAAUCGUGUCAAAAAUUUACUGGCGCUGUAUAGUGUAGUGCGUGUCAGACGGUGCCGAUGUGUGCCGGUUAUAAAAAUACAUGUGUGCCGAUAUAUAAUUACAUACAAUGUUUAUUUUUUAAAAAAAUAAAAUAUUUUAAUUGCUUAUAAUAUAUAUUUGUUAAGUAGUUUGAAUUUUAUUAAAAAAACUACUUACUGUCACGCCCCGGAUGUCUCGUUCCCCGGGCACGCCGACAAAUCCGCCGUAUACAAAGAAAUUUUUCCUGUAUACUACAAAAAAAUUUUUCCUGUAUACGAAGCGACAGCUGUACCUGUAAACAUACAAUACUACAAACAAUAAUAUAGAGCUGCUCGAAUAAACAUAAGCUAAACGAACUGAGCUUCAUAUACAUAGUUCAAAAAUCAAAAUACAGAGUCACUCGCACUGGCGAGUUAAGUACUAUGUACAUAAGCUCGAAAUAAAACAACUACCUGCAGUAGGGUGCCUCUAGCUCUGCUCGGCGGGGAGGGCUCUAACUCACGACGCCCUUACCUCGAUCCUGAUCCGCGGAAGGCGCAGUAGCAGAAACCUGUGGCUCUGUAAAACAGGGGUAACAACUGGGCGUGAGAACUACUGUACAAACAAGUAGUACUCAGUGGGUACCGCCCAAAACAAAUAUCGGUCCACCCACUAAGUCUACAGAAAGGAGCAAGAAUAGUCGGAAAAGCAGGAAGUAAACUCUACCGCUAUCAAUCACUACACUAUCAUGCUAUACAUUAACCAACUGUAGGAAAUGUCAAAACUGACCCAAUCCAAUCGGGACUGUAAACCUACCCGUCCCUGGGACUGUGAAUACACCCGUCCCUGCCCAGUUACGACUAUCCAGCUACCUCCACACUAACUGGUCCGUGGAGAGCAAGUCCAACCGGUAUGAGCGACACCAACGCAAAAGUACAAAGCCCAUCUCCGGAGUGGCACUCGUGGGCGCUACCCAACCGAGUAUGCAGCGUAUCUCUGUCGAGCUCAAUCAGGCUCUGUCAAGCCAAAGUCCAAGUAACCGACUCUAACUGGUCUAACAACCAACAAGUAAUGUGCCCACGGCACCAUCUGACGCCAAAACGGCGAACCGAGCCCACCGUCAACCCCAAUAGCGCCCAAAAGUCCGAAACAGCCCAAACGACCCUGUAAAAAUCCACUCGGCGUACCAGCACGAGCGUAAAUGUAUGCUAAACUACCUGGAGUACUCGUCUCGAGGAUACUACGACAGUACAAUUUUAUAACGGCUCCUAGAGCUAAAUCAGGCAGUUUAAACAAGUGACAUGUCCAAAUCGCAGGUUUUCUCGUAAUUCAAAUUCUAAGUCCCACAUGUAUAACCUACUCAAUUUAUUACCACAUGCUCCAAAUUCAGAUUUGCAAUCUACCAUAUAAUCCAUGAAUUCGAGCUAGAAUAGAUUAUCCAAAAUCGAAAUCUAUAUAUGUCGACAAUUAUGAACUUAGGAGUAAAACCGAUGUAAACUCACCUCAAAGCUAAUUCCUGGCAGCACGGAACUCCCUUGGCUGCGGCACAACCUGCUGGAUCGACUAAAAAUGUCCGAGUCUCGAAAUCAAGCUAUCUCCAAGCUAUCAACAUCGAAAAUCCACAAUUCAGUCCAAAUACACAGCAGCAGAGAAGAGAAGGGUUUCGACCAAGCUAACCUUUACUAAAAUCCACAAGUAAGGGUUUCGUGGAUUCCUCUCGCAGUCCCGAAUCCAAUGAACCAAGUCUCGUCGCAAACCGAUGCUCCUACGUCGAGUACGAGCUGAAAUACUAACAGUCAACGAUGAAUUUCAGCAAACAACACUUAAGCUCGAAUUAAUGAUGCUUGGAGAAAUGAUGAAGCAAUUCGACGGAACAUUCACCUCGACAGUGACUAGCACCGGCGUGACGCCAAGAACAGCAAAGUCGCACCCUCGCCCGGCCUCCUCGCACUGCUCCGGCAACAAUCGUAUCCCCAAACGGCUCCGCGGCGCGACGUCGGCGACGAAUCCGAGCUUCUUCCUUGCCUUCAACCGGAUGAGAGUGAGAGAGAAAUGAAGAAAUGCAGCAAGAGAACUUCUCUCUCUCUACACGAAGCUAUAUAGAGAGAAGGUGUGUUGGUGAUACAAACGAGGGAGGGAAUUACCUAAAUAGCCCUCUACUUACCUCCUUGUACCGGUACACGGGCUCCUGUAUCGGUACAAGGGCCAACCCGAGAGCAGCUAAACCAGUGCACGCUGGUUGUACCGGUACAGCCACGCUGGUUGUACCGGUACAGCAAGCAAAGAAUUCUGCUGUUUUGCAGAAUUCUUCGCGAUAAGCUGCCCUCGCAUCGCACGGAGUCCGUUUUGCGUCUAUUUGACGCCAACGCAACUCGGACUUGUCCCGACACUCUCCAAAGCUGCCGACAAGCCGCCACAACAGAACACCAGGGAUCUCACACUUACUAAUUUAAAGAAAAAGGCAUUUUGGUAUGUGCCAUCGGUACGGAGAUUAUAUCAUGUCGAUAUCUUGUUAACACAAUACGGCACGGCAGAUACGAUAUAUUUUGAUGGGCACUUAAAUUCUUGAUUAAGAAGAUAAAGUACAUUUUAGCAAUUAUAUAUUCAAGUUUUUAAGUAUUAAACAAGAUUCGGAUUUUAAUGUGUUGGUGAUAUCUUUACAGCACAGUUUAUUAUUUUGGUUAAAAGCAAGGAUUUAAGUGCCGUGACACGGUGUCGUGGCGGAAACUUGCAAGUACGGUACAGCACGGUACGUGCUAAGCCGUGCCGAUGCUUGUCGAUCAAAAAAAUUCUUGUGUGCCGAUACAUAAUAGCAUGAAAUAUUUAUUUUUUUUAGCAAUAAAAUAUUCUAACUAUUUAUUAUGUCUUUUUAUCAUAUCUUUUGAACUUUAUUGAAGAAAUUACUUACUAAUUUAAAAAAUAGAGGGUUUUAAGUUGUGCCGUCGAUACGGGCUCUGUAUCGUGCAAGUAUCUUGUUGGUACGGUACAGUAUGGUGAAUACGGUCUGUGCCGACGGGUACUUAAAAUCUUGAUUAAAAGUGUUUUUGCAAGGGAAGCUCCCAGCAAAUUUACACAAAGUAUCAGAACAUGGUAGUAGCGCUUCUCCCGAAAGCAGAUUCGGGUGACACAUUAAUGAAAGUACCCAUCAAUUAGAAAAAGUUCCUUUGCAGAAGAAGCUACUAGAAAGUAGAAGCUUACUUGAAUAUUGUGCUAUCUCAACAGUCUCAAAUUGAAUAAUAUAAAAAAUAUAUAAUAAAUUUAUAAGCAACGGACACAUUAAUAAUAAUAACUGAGUUACCGACCGUCCCUAGAGCAAAUAGCAAAGAGCUUGGUGGUUGAUACGCGAGACCCAAAUUCGAAUCCUAGUUGAUUCACAUUUCCAGCUAAAUUUAUUUCUAAAUGAAAUAAACGAAACGAGUAACGUGCUACCUAUCUCUGAAAAAAAAAUAGGCUAAAUUACAGAAAACCCCCCUGUAAUAACCCGCUUUUUCACUUUCCCCCCUGACAUUUAAAAACCUACACUUUGCCCCCUUGUAAAAUGAAAAAUGUGCACUUCACCCCUACCGUUAGGGUUCCGUUAGGGGUUCUGUUAAAAAAUAUUUUUUUAUACCGAAAAUACCCCUCUGCCUCUUCUCUGAUGCUUCGCUCCCUCCAGCUCGCCGCUUCGCCGCCUCGCGGCCUCGCCGCUUCGCCGUCCUCCACUGCUUCGCGCUCGCCCACAUCCCUUUCGUUCUCCUCCGCCACCUCGCCUUCGCCCUCGUUGUCCCUGCCUACCUCUCCAUCAACACCCAUCUUAGUAUCCUCCCUACUGUCGCCGAAAUCGAUGGGCGGCGACGGUGUAGGAGGAGAAGGGGAGCAGGUGGAGAAGAAAUUGGAGAGGAAUCGUGGCCGAUUGAGGUGGAAAUAGCGGCGGAUCGAAGGGGCGGCUGAGGAAGCUCAGGAAGAAGACAACAAUGGCGAGGGGCAAAAUGGUCAUUUUACACACCGUGACCCCCCUGUGAACAUUUUUCAUUUUACAAGGGGGCAAAGUGUAGGUUUUUAAAUGUUAGGGGGGGAAAGUGAAAAAGCGGGUUAUUACAGGAGGGUUUUCUGUAAUUUAGCCAAAAAAAUAAUAACUGAGUUUAAUUAUUUUAAGUCGGUGGUUUAGAUCCAACGAGUUAUUAUUACUGGCGUGUCCGAUUAUCGUUUGAUAAAUUUGAAACUAUGUGUAUUAUUGGAUUGGACUGACGAGAAUGUGAGGCCCAAUGAGUUAUUAUUAUUAGCGGGAGAAAUCAUUACAAAUAUAAUAAUUAACUAUCUUCAUAUGUGUAUAUUUGUGUAUUUGUUGAUAAUAUUAACAUUUUUGUCCGUGCAGGUGUAGCUGAGAUUUCUAAUUUUUCUGAGGCUCCACUUGAACAUGAUUUAUCAAUAACACAAUAAAAAGUAAAUUUAAGUAGUGAUGAAAAGCGUUAGCAAAUCUAUAUCCAUACUGCUUAUAAAAAAGAGAGCUCUAAUAUCAAUUUUUUUUUUUUUUUCAAAAUACCGCUCUCUAUAAAAAUAAUGUAUAUAUUACAAUUGUACAAGUUUUAUUUUUAUUUUGGAAAAUACAUUAACUCGUAGUAAUUGGAUCUUAUCCAAUAGCCAACACAUCUAAGUAUCUUUUAUUUUUUUAUACCUAAAUUGCCCUUAAGCUUGUAUAAAGGCCCUCUCAACCAUAGGCCAUCACCAAAUAACUCUUAAACUUUAUACUUUUUAUUAACAAAAAUUUUAAUUUUGAUUAUAAAAUUAUUUAAUUUUAAACUUUACAAUUAAAAUUUUUAUCAAAUUCAUUAAUAAUUCUUUAGUAUUUAAUUAGUCAAUAAUCAUUACAUUUUACAAACUUUUUAAAUUAUUUGGAAUAACUUAAAUAAAAAGUUGAGGAGCUUUUUUUUCUUUAAAUGUUCCAUAGUUGAGGCUUUUUAGCACCUUUUAUUUAAAACUCUCAAAAUUUUCGUUUGUAGUCAUUUUUUUUAUUUUAAAAAAGAAUGGCUUUAUCUUGUUGCCAUUUUCUCUUUAUUAAAAAAAGCUAUAUAUAUAUAUAUAUUUGAGUAUAAAUAAGAAAAUUUAAGUAUGUUAAAUAAGAGCUUCAUGAAAUCCGAAUCCAAACCCGAACCCAAAAAUUCAAACCCGAAAUAAUUAUUUUUCUUUUCAAUAUUUCAAAAUAUAUUGUAUUAAAUCUAAAUUUUUAAAAUACAAAUUUAAACAUAACAUCAAUUUUUUAUAUACAUAUUAUAUAUAAUAUAAAAUAAAUUCGGGUUCAGGCCAGGUUCAAGUCGAGUUCGAGCUCUGAUUGGGUACAAUCAAAAUUUAUAUCCGAAAUCGUAUCCGUCGGGUUUUAUUUUUGAUAUUCAUGUCUGAAAUCAUAUUCAUUUAGCAUCAAAUAAAUUUGCUCUGUUCGAAUUCGAAUUCAGAUAAAAUUUUGGAUAUCUUGUCUGGCAUCGGCAGCCAUGCCUAGCUAGUUCUAGAAGCAUGUACUGUCUUCGGGUGAGAGAUCAUACAGAAGAAACGGAGAAUGGACAAAACAAAAGCGCUUAAUUUGGUGUGUAGUGCUUUUUUUCAAAAAAGUUAUAAAGAAAAAGUCAAAAUUCUUAUAAACUGUGGGUACAAUUGACCGCAAGGUUUUCCUUAAUAGACGUGACCCUCACGAGUUCACUUUUUUUUUUUAAGAGUUAUAAGUAGCACGACAUCCGCUUCGUUUAUUUUAUUUAGAAAUAAAUUUAACUAAAAAUGUGAAUUAAUUAGCAUUCUAACUUGAGAACUCGGGUAUCAACAAUCAAAUUCUUUGCCACUUGCUCCAGGAACAGUCGGUACGAGUUCACAUUUCACCCCUAAUAAAAGAGUGUUUAUCAAAAUGCAAUGCACAAAACAUACUGGCGCAUAGGCCUGGCAAACGAGCGAGCCGGCUCGUGUUCGACUCGUGUUCGGCUCGAUAUUCGGCUCGCUCGAGCUCGACUCGAAAUUAAAUGAGCCGAGCUUGAACAAAAUAAAAGGCUCGAAAUUCAUUUCAAGCCGAGCUUGAGUAUUACUCGGCUCGUUCGAAUUAGGCUCGAAAAGCUCGAAAAGCUCGAAUAUAUAUAUAUAUAUAUAUAAUAUGUAUUUUAAUCAUAUAUAGGCUUUAAUUUAAUUUAGGCCAUUAUUGUUGGCCGAUAAAAUAAACCCAACAAGUACAACCGUGCAAUUGAGCCCAACUCUAAAUUUACAUAACACAUUCUCUCUUUCAGACUUUCACUGUUACACAUAACCCUAAAACAUGAUAACAUUCAAAUUCCCAAAUUCCUAAUAUUUUUCCUCCCUCUCUCUCUCUCUCUCUCUCUCUCUCUCUCUCUCUCACUCAGACCCUCAUCUAGUCAGGAAGUCACCCUAGCUCAUAUUUCUUACAAUUAUUUUGUAUUUUGAACUAUUGGACAUGUUGCAUCAAAUUGUAGGUAAUGUUCUAUAAAAAUUAAACUAUUGAUUAUAUAAUGUCGAGAAUUUCAAUCGGCUCGUUUAGAGCUCGAGCUCGGCUCGACUCGAAAUUAGGCUCGCUCGAGCUCGGCUCGAAUUAAUUUCAAGCCGAGCUUGAGCCUAGAUUUAGGCUCGAAAUUAAUUUCAAGCCGAAUUUGAGCUGACAUAAGCUCGCUCGAGCUCGGCUCGUUUCCACCCCUACUGGCGCAUCAUGUGCAGUUUGUCGAGAUGCAGUGCACAAGACAUAUUAAUGCAUCAUGUGCGGUCGAUAAUUUCUUUACACUCUCGCUCUUGGAUUCGAAUAGGCUCACUGUAAAAGUAUAUUUGGUUUGAAGGAUUUGAAGCUCGGAGUUUGAACUAGAAUGAUUCAUUCUCAUUCUGGGCGUGUCUGGUUCGCUUCUUUUUCAUCCUAGAAUCGAAAUCAAAAUCGGCGAAUUCGUUUGUGGGUGUUUGAUACGUGGGAGUGUCAUUUCGAUUCUGAUUCCCGAGGAAUGGGAAUUCCCAAUCACCUUUUUUUCCAAUUCGGCCUCCUAGGCCGAUCAGAUUGGAAGUUGAAUCCGGACGGAAGGGAUAUUUAUUCAGAUUAAAUUUAUUUUUUCAAUUUUUUUUAAUUAAAAUAUGAGUUUAAAUUUAGAAAUUAAAUUUAUAAUUUUAAAUUUUAAUUUGAACUUGAAUUAAAAAUUAAAAUUUAAUCAAGUAUUUCGAAUCUAACUUAUGAAUUUGAAUUUAAAUUAAAUUUUAACUUAUAUAAAGUUUUAUUCAAAUUUUAUUUAAAACUUAAAUUAAAUUUAUGGAUUAAAAUUAAAAUUAAAAUUAUAAUUUUAAGUUUGAAUUUGAAUAAAUUAAAAUUUAGUUUUAUAUUUUGAAUUACCCACUCAACUUCAAAGUGUAAUUUUUUUAAAAAAAUAGAUUUAAAAUUUUAACAUUAUUUCAAAAUUUUGAUGUAAAUUUUUAAUAUUAAAUUUUAAUUUAAAUUUAAAUUAAUAUAUUAUAAAAAUAAAGUUAUUAUAUUAAUUUAAUUACAUUUUUUAUAUCUAGCUAAACCAAACACUGACAAUGGAAAUGAUUUAUUCCGAUUCCGAUUCAGGGGAUGAACCAAACAGAAUUAGGUAAUGAGUCAUUCCGAUUCCGAUUUCAGCUUAUUUCGAUUCUGAUUUCAAUUCAGAUUUUCAAACCAAACACGCCCCCGUUAGUGUUUGGUUAAAAAUAUGUUUACUGAGAUGCAGUAGUGCACAGAACAUACUGGUGCAUCAUGUGCAGUUUGUCGAGAUCCAGUGCACAAGACAUAAUGAUGCAUCAUGUGGAGUUGAUAAUUUCUUUACCCUCUCGCUUUUGGAUUCUAAUAGGUUUACCGUAAAAGCAUAUUUGAUUUUGAAGGAUUUGAAGCUUGGAAUUUGAAUCGGAAUGAUUCAUUUUCAUUGUUGGUGUUCAGUCUCAAAUAUUGACAUUUUGAUUCGCAUUUUGGGAGAAUCGAAUUCUCAUAAAAUAUUUCCCCCCAGGGAGGUAGAAAUCAACUUUGAUUCGGAAAGGAAUUGAGAAAAGAAACUUUUUUCACUAGAAAUUAUUUAAAUUCAAAUAUUAAUCUAUAUCUAAUUUUAGAUUAUAAUUUAUGUCUGAAUUUGAAUUAUGGAGUCAAAAAUUAAAUUUUUUAUCAUUAAAUUAUAAUUUUAUAUUUGAAUUUGAGUAACGGAUUCAAAUUUUAGUUUUAAAUUUCUUAAGUUCAAGUUUAAAUUUGAAUACAAGUUUGAUAUUUUAACCUAGUUCUAAAUUUACAUUUUAACUUUGAUCUUGAAUUUUAAUUGUAAAUUCAAAAUUAAAGUUUGAAUUGUAAGUUCAAGUUUGAGAAUUCAAAAUUUGAUUACAGAUUUGAGUAUUAAAAUAAAUUUCAUUAAAAAUUAACUUUUUAAAAUUUUAAUUUGAAUAUAAUUUCGAUUUUGAGUCCUCUUAUGAACCAAACAAAAUAGAGUUUUUAUUGCUCCGUUUUCGAUUACGGUCCACUUUCAUUCCAGCUAAAGAGGAGUUUUGGGUCCGAGCCCUCUCAAUAUUUUAGAUCUUGUACUUAAAUAGGCUUCAACCAGGCCCAUAUGCAAAAUUAAAUGCUUAAGAGACCUUUUGGUUCUGUGGAGAAGUGUGGAUAAUUAUUUCUCUAAAAAAAAAAGCUUUUCAUAAAAAAUAUCUUUUUUUUCAUAGUUUUAAUUUUUCAAAUAAAAAUUCAAAAUGAAAAUACUAUGUUUCCUAUCGACUAUUUCUCCAAGGAUCCAAACGGACACAAAUUACUUUUUUCAGCCAGAAAACUAGUUUAUGUGAUAUUUGUCGAAAAACCAAACACCCCCUAGAUUAAAAUGGCUAUACAAAUGUCACGCCCCGGAUUACUCAUUUUUCCGGACACACUAACAUACACAUAGGAAUUUUUCCUAUAUACGAAGCGAAACUGUACAUGUAUAUGUAAUCAUACAACACUACAACCAAUAGUAUAGAGCUACUGAAAUAAAACAUAUAUAAACAACAGAGGUUCACUAUACAUACAUAGCAUCCUGGUAUACAAAAUCACUCGCUUUAACGAGAUACAAACAUCAGUAUGUAUAAUAACUCAAAAACUACAACUAGACUACCUGUAGCUGGUACUCCUCUAGCUCUGUGACUCGUCAAGAAGGGAUCUAACUCGUAACACCCUUUCCACGAUCAGUACAAGUAAUAAUAACAGCCGCAACCGAAGGCUCUGCAAAAGAUUCACAACUGGACGUGAGAACUACUGCAAAAAGAAGUAGUCCUCAGUGGGUACCGCUACCGACCUCAAUGGCCCACCCAUUAAGUUUACAAAUAAUAUACUCAAUGAUAGUAAAGAACUAAAACAAUUUACAGCUAUAUGCCACUAUAUGUAGUGUUUCUGAGCUUUGGGUAGGAUUGACUUCAGUGUUAGUGACUGGUCGGUACAUCUGGAGAGUUUCUGACUGAGUCGGAGUCGUUUCUACGCGAAAUGGAUGCAGAAAUGGAUUCGGCGCACUCAAAUAAGCAAAACUAUAGUUUUGCCAGAUUCGGGCGCCCAGAACUGGCCUUGGGUCGCCCAGAUGUUGAGUGCAGAACUGAGCAGAACUGGAAGCCAAUUCGGGCCCAUAUUUCGGGCGCCCGGAUGAGGGUCCGAAAAGUUCACCUUGUGAGUAUCGUUUGCGCUGACACGUGGUUGGUGGUUGGUGAGGUCCGCCAGAGCCGGAUACGGGCGCAGCACACCACGGGCGAAGAGUUCGAGGAGGAAGCUUUGUAUAGCCUAGAGGAUUCGGGCGCCGGAGCUUUUUUAGGAGUAUAUAAGUAAUUGGGCCUAUUAAUAACUGAAUUAAACAUUUUGAGCUGAUGAUCUGAAUCUAACAAAUUAGCGAUAUUAAUGAAAUAUAUCUUUACAUUUGGUACUAGAACUGAAAGUGUAGGCCAGAUAUCACAUACUUUCUCGUCUGGGUCUAAACAGUGAGUUGAGUCUGCAUCUAACAAGUUAAUCUUAGAAGUGCUUGUGUGGGAAGCACUUUUUUUUUUUUUUUUUUUUCCUUCCUUUAAGAGUGCAUUAUAUAUUAUAGGUCCAUAUCAAGUAGGGAUGUCAACGGGUCGGGUUUGGGUCGGGUUUUUAAAAACCCGAACCCGAACCCGAAAACCAAAUUAAAAUCCGUACCCGGACCCGAACCCGGCGGGUUUUAAAAAUCUAUACCCAUAUCUGUACCCGACCAAAAACCCGAAACCCGAACUCGGACCCGGAUCCGGACCCGGCCGGUUUUAAAAAUCCAUACCGUUAAAUGAAGAUCUAAGAGAUAAAAAUUAUUAAAUAUUUUAUAUAUUAUAUAAAUAAAUAAAAAUAAAGUAUGUAUGUAUAUAAUUUAUUCGAGUUUGGGUUUGGGUUCGGGUUCGGGUUCGGGUUCGGGUUCGGGUUCGGGUCGGGUAAAUACAAAAUCCAUAUCCGUAUCCAUAUCCGUCGGAUUUUUAUUUUCUAUACUCAUAACCAAAUCCAUACCCGUUUAAUUCGGGUAAACCCGCCCUGUUCGAAUUCGGGUAAUAUUUCAGAUAUCCAUACUCAUUGACAUCCCUAAUAUCAAGUGCUCUUGUUUGAGAUCUCUCUUUUUGUUCAUUCAAAGACAUGACCGCAGAAUGGGGCAUUUGACUAUUUCUUAGGCCGACAUGAAAAGCACUUUUUAUCUAUUUGCGUUACACAAUCAUAAUGUUUGCUGCCUUUUUGGCUUGGAAUCAUGGUCUAGUCGCAUGCACUCAAAGCAAAGCUUUUUCUUUUUUUUUUUUCUUUUUUCUUUGAGUAAUACAGUGCCAACUAUAUAGCAAAUAUUAACGCUUCAAAAAAAAACGUUAUUAUAUAAUCUCUUCAAAUAAAUUAUUAUGCUAUUUUUAAUUUUUCAAUGCUUUCAACCAUCCGAAUUUAAUAUGUAUUGACGCUUAUAAAGUGUCGGAAUAUAUCUCACAGACGUAUAGUAUAAACACUUAUCGAUGCUAUACACGAAUCCAAUAUAACUUUCAUUUAUCAAAUAGAACGUCAUAAUUUGAAAUUUAUAGCCGGACAGGAUCUUACCUCUAAUUCUAGCACGGAUCAAUUUGAUCAAACUAAAGUUUUUACAGAAUAGUUACGAUUUUGAGCAGAACCAUAAGAAAAUCUAUAAUACUUCUAUUUCCGGGGCCCAGAAACUUAGUUAUUUUCCAUUGUUCAAGUAGUGAAAUUAUUCGAGAGGCACCAAAUUCAUGGUACACAAUGAUUUACACAUUUGGAAACGGUAUUAGGAGAAACAAAAGUAACACUAUUAUUAAGUACCUUAUAAAUCCCCUAAUAUUAUUAAUGCACACCUUUAGAACAUCUCACCCAAAAUGUAUAAUUUUAGCAACUUAAGUGGGAGAAAGGAAAAAAACAAAAGAACUUGUCUCCGUAUAUAUAAUUGUGUCUUCUAAGCUAAAGAAGAUCACAAUGUGCAAUGCAUUACUUUUUUUUUUUUUUCUUUUGCCCUUUUUCCCCUUUUAAAGGCACAGAGACAUAAUAGAGAAGAUAACUAAGCAUGAUGGACUCAUGGGGCCUCAUGUUAGCUAAAUUGUAGCAUAAUGUCAAUGCAUUACUUCUCUCUCUCUCUCUCUCUCUCUCUCUCUCUCUCAUACUUUAACUAGAAUACUUUCUCUCUCUCUCUCAUACUUUAACUAGAAUACUUUAACUAGAAUAAAAUUCGUAUCUAAAUUUAUUAAAAAAUACGGCCUAAAAAAUGGACUCGUCGAUUAUUUGAAUAUUCAAUUUAUACGAAAAUUAUAUCCACCAAUUAAAAAUUCAGAAUAAAAAAUUCGGCUAUUAAAUUAAACUUUUUUCUCCAGAUUUGUACUAUUAGCAUAAAAAGUUAUAAUUAAUUCUUAAGAAUAUAAAAAUAGAAAGUUAUAAAGUAAAGUAAAUUAAGUAAAAAAAAGCAAGUAAAGCUCGUUGCCGUCUCCAUCUUCAUCUUUUUCAUAAUCCACGUAUUCGAAAAGUUUGUAAAGCUUUCUAAUAAUUUACAAAUUAACCAACUACGUUGGAGGAAAUAAAUUAUCCAAAAAUUCUGCGUGUUUUUUUAACUGAAUAGCUCGGCAUACGCGAAUUAUUCGCGAUAAUAAAUCUAAUCCAUAAAUUUUAUAUUUUACUUUUUUAAAUAUAUAUAUAUAUAUAUAUAUAUAUAUGAAUUAACUGUCUCAUUCAAAUUUUUAAAAAUUUAUAAAUAAUUUAUGAAUAAUUUGCAAAUAAACUGACUAUGCAUCAUCUCACAUGUUCCCAGCUGGGUAUGUGAAUUUCAAGGUUUUUAUUGAUGCAUGGUAUUCGAUCGAGAGGUGAUUACAACAUCCCACGUGAAUCCAGAGGAGUCUAUGAUCCCAUGCACGCCCCUUCUACUUAAUUAUUACACUAAAAAGAUGAGCACUCAUGGCCCCACGUGAGGUGACAUGCAUCAAUUAAAAGAGAAAACCCUUGCCUUAGUGUAACUAGCUAGUACAAUUAGAGCUAUAUUCAGAUUAAUAUAAUGAGUUGGAGUACUAUAAUUUUAUGAGUAUAAAUAUAUAUAUAUAUAUAUAUAUAUAUAUAGUUGAGCUAGAAUGCUAUCGGUAGUAAACGAGUCAUUUUACUACCGAUUUGUUUUCGAUGAUAGAGUUUCAAAAUUGACGAUCGGCUCCGUUAAUUAUGAUCUAAACCAUUUAAACUUCCUAGAAAUCAAAUUUCACGCACUUUCGAUAUUAUUCUUUUAUUCAUCAAGUGAACAGAAAAAUGAAUGACUGAAAAUGAAUACUCUUUAAAAAAUGAUGAUAGGGGUCUUGUAAUCAAGAUUAAGAGUAUAGAUCUUGUUUUAAAUAGUUUAAAGAAUUUUCUAACAAAAAUUCAAUUGAUUUGAAUAUCUUUACGCCGGUAAACGAGAAAACGCCUCUUAUCGACCAUUAAAAUUACAAAUUUUGAAACCCUUUGAUCAUUAGGCAAAUGAUGUCGAAAAUAUUUGAAAUUUAAUUUCUAAACACUUCAAGUGGUAUAGAUCAUGUUUAACAGAGCCGAUCGUCAAUUUGGAAGCUCUAUCAUCGAAAACAAAUCGGUAGUAUAACAACUCGUUUACUACCGAUAGUAUUCUAGCUCAACUCUAUAUAUAUAUAUAUAUAUGUCCUUUUACACCAUCGUUGAAUCUAUCUUUUUAAUUAUUUUCAUCUGUUACAUUAUAUUAUUCAACCAACCAUCCAUUCAACCUUAAAAAAUUACUAUCAUUCUAACCGAAAAUCACUAUCAUCCUAGCCGCAUAUUUUUUCAUCUAACACUUGAAAACUUAUGAGUACAAAAGGCUCUGUACUCAUACACAAGUAGUUCCGGAACUUUGACAAUUUUAUUUGCCACUUAUUCUUUAAUUAAAAGUAAUUUUAGUAUUUUUUAAAAAAUAAUUAUGUGAAAAAUUAAUCAGUUAUAUUAUUUGAUAUUAAAAGGUUAUUGCUAGAAAGGU